rnacentral:lncRNA from 1 species
ACCACUCCCCUGGUCGUGUAGCAAAAACUUCCGGUAAAAACAACAACGAAAGUCAAAGUAAACUAAUAACACUUUUUUUAAAAUAUUUUAAGUCUUUUGUUUCUCAACCACCGGAUCAAUCCAAGGGCCGUGAAUCAGGGGCGGUUCUAAGGCCCGGCGACCCUGGGCACUCGUCGGGCUUCGGGCCAAAUUUUUUGCAAUUUUUUGUGUAAAUCCCUAUGAAUUUCUUAUAUAAACCCCUAUAAAUUGGGCAAUUUCUUUACAUUUUUUAUUAUUUGCUUGCAAUUUUUUAUGUAUGUCAUAUAAAUGUGUUGCAAAUUUUUUUUGCCCGGGCUUUAGAAUAUUCCUGCUCCGCCAAUGCCGUGAAUAGUGCAGGAGAGAUUGAAGGAGAGAGCACAGCAGGAGAGGAUCCGCUCGCAAAAUCUUUGGAAUCCUUCUCUCUUCUUCCAACCGAAACCCUUUCCUUCAUUGUUAUCUCUUCUUCCAAAAACAGUUCUCUCCGCAUUUAACAGCAAGUUUGCAAGAUUUCAAAGCAAUUUUGAAACAAGCAAGGUUAGAAAAUUGGGUUCUUGAUUCAUGAUUUUGAUUGUUUCUGUGUUUUGUACCAUUAAUGUGUGUUUCUGCCUUUUCCAAUUUCUACAUCGUUGGUUUUGUGAGUGCAGAGGCAAGCUUGAACUAAUUUGACGUCAAUUAAGAAUUCAACAUUUCAGAUUAUAUUGAAGAGUUUUUAGAAAAUUUAUAAAGGAAAGGGCAAUUUUGGUAUCAAGGUAAAAUUUUAAGUUAAUUCUUACUCUUGUGUUUUUAUACUAGUAUUAUUAUUGAAUUUGAUUAUUUCAAAUGCAAUUCAGACAACACAUAAAGGUAAAAAAAAUACCAUAAUUCAAGUUAAUCUAAUUGCCUAAUCGUAGGAUCAAAUAUAUGGUGACUAAUUCAUGCCAUCGCAAACGACAUACACAAAAAUAUACAACAAAAUCUUUACGCAAAAUAAACGCAUCCAAGUCGAAACAUAACCGUAACAAUAUAGCAAAAUAACACGCACGUUUGUUAAAAUUUACAACCAAAACAUGUCAUCAAAGACAACAGACACCACCAAAAUCAGUAAUCUUACAUACCCACCACAAGAUGCCUAAACAUAACAAUAAGCACCAUCAAAAAAAGGCGGGGUUUAGCAUGGGAAAGAAAAGUUGUUUCCUACGGUGGGAAAGUUUUUUUAGACGGUUAGAUUAAAGAAGAACACAAAUUUUAUGAUGGUAUGUCCAGACCAUAUCAUCCAUCAACAUUCUCUCUCUUCCAUUCCCCCCACUCAUGCACUCAACCACCACCACCACACUAUUCAUCUUUCCUCUCAAUCUUAGUUUUCAACACACAGAAGAACACAAAUUCACUACUGAGUUGGAAAAACUGAGGUGUAUUUAAUCAAGAGACCAUUUUUUUUUAUCAUUUCUAUUAUGUAAAUUCGUCAUCAGGUUCGACUUUGUCUUCCCCAAUCAUACCGGAAGUGAUCGGAAACUCUCCCACGGUUGUCUGCCAUGGCUCUCCGACGAAGGUUGUUUAAGGAAACUUUUUUCAAAUCUGAGUUUUUUUUUUUUUUUACAAACAGACAGAGAUGGAAAGGGAGGAGAGAGAGCAAAAGGUGGGGAUGGUGGUUCCUUGAUCUACUUAUUUAUUUGAAGAAAAAAUUGCAGAUCUUUUUUUUAACUGGAUGUUAGUAAAUAAGUAAGUAAUUAGUUUGAAUAAGUCUUAUUUUAGGAACAAUUGGGAGAGGAAAAAUACUUGGUGUGAAUUUGUGUUGUUUCUAUGACUGUGAGCAGUGAAGAAAAUGGGAUUCAUCCUUCCGUGAUAGUGGAUGUGGGUGAAAUUCAAUCUCAUGAGGUUGAAGACUGUAAAAAAGAUAUGGUAUGUGUGGUCUAUGAUUAAAUCAGUGUUCCACUUUAAUCUAACUGUUCAAAAAAACUUUCCCAUGGUGGUAAACAACUUUCAUUUCCCAUGCUAAACUCCACCUCAAAAAAAUGAGUCAUAAAAAAAGACCAAUCAUACAAAAAUUCAAAAACAGUCUAAUCAUUAUAUCACCUAAAGGUGCUAAAGGUACAAAAAUAGCAUUACAAUCAACCCAAGUUCAAAUAAAUUUCACAUAAAGGAACUAAAGUCAUAUCCUAUGUAUUCAAUCUUUUAUCAUUACAUCACCUCAUAGUCAAUUCAACACAAUCUAAUAAACAAUGUUUAUAAAAACUAAAUUGAGUUCUUGACAUCAGAUUUAAAAUAUUCGUAGGACAUGGCUUUAUUGAUGGAAAAAAUACCUAAAAAAACUACUAUAAAAAGUUGAAAGGAGUUGGAAUAACCUUUACAAAGUUGAGGUCAAACUAAAUGACAAAGCCAAAACAUGUAGACCAAAAAAUCAUGUAAAAUUAAAUACCUUACAAACUACAUCAAUAUAUUAAGAAAGGUCAAGAAAAAUUAUGACCAUUAAAAUUCAUGUCAAAAGAAAGGUCAAGAGGAAAAAAAAAAACUUGUAGUCAUUAGGCACUAUAAAAUCAUACAAUAAAACGAAACACUUAUUUAGUCCCAAAUUGACCCUUUAGUUAGCACCAAUAAAAAAAAUUCUUUAGGUUUCAGAUUCUUCAAGUCCCUCUGGUGAGGCUUUGUUCUCCACUUCAUGUGAAUGGCAUUAUUUGAAGGAUUUGAGGAUGAAGAUAACACUUUUAUAGAACUCACAUUGCAUAUUUGUCAACCUUUGCACUGCAAAUGAAACCAAACAACAUAAACAAAUGUGUAAUUUUAAACUCCCUUCUCACACUUACUGCGAAAGAAAUAAGUAUUAUCGGUUAGAAAUGAAAUCAAAUGUGGAAGGCAAAAGUGAAUGAAAAAAGAAAAACAUAGUAGAGCUUGAUUCAACCUCAUGUGCGAGACUGAUAUCAACUGAGAAAGGAAAAAAAUUAGUGAAGUCCAGCAUAAAAGUAUUCCUUUGAAAACAGACAAAAAUUAAUGCUAAGAAAACUUUCAGAUGUUGGAAGCAAAGAAAUCCGUGGAACACCCAUAUAUAAUUUUUUUGCCUCAAAAUAUCCAUCCUUAUUCUUGUCUCACCCCUGUCAAAAUAACAAAUAGAGACGAAAGAGGUGAAAGAUAGCCCCUCACGAAACAACAUAUUAUUUAUUAUAAAUUAGUAGUAAUAGCACGAAUGGUAUAGAACUGCAAACCGCUUGCAAAUGGCAAUGGGGAAAAACUGAGAAAAAGAUCAGAAGAGAGAAUGUUGUAUCAGUUUUGGCAUGACGAUGAAGAUGUGAAAAAGACUAACUGAAAAAAGAAAAGAUAAAGGAAUCAAGAUGUCGUACCAAAAACUAAGCGAUUUGGAGAAUCUGUAUCCUUUGCUGUAAUAAAAUGAUGAUAGUUUCUAACUGCAAAAAUGAAGAGGGUGAUAGAAAUUUGAUGAAUAUCUUUGAAAAUGUGAAAAGCAAAAUUGAAUAGGUGAAACAAUUAACCAAGAAAAGAACAAUAACAAUAAAAUUAAGAAAUAAAGCUAACAUUGGCAAAAUUAAAAGUUCGUUUUAGGGGAGAAACUGUUAACUACAUAUUUAAUCUUAAAGUUAAUCAUUAAUUGUUUUAGUAUGAAACAUAGCGAAAUAAGUAUGUUGGAUUGCCUCAAAAAGUUGCAGCCAGAAUUUUCUAAACCAUUCCUUUGUGAAACUCAUUAGUAUCCCUCAUUGCAAAGGCAACUACAUUUUUUUUUAUAGUAAUGGAAAUAUUGUUGUGAUAUAUAGUGAAUAAUGUUCAUGAGGAAUAAUGCUAGGAUUGGUGUUUUGAUCUACUUUUCUAAUAAUCGCUCAGCUGAAAUGCAUAAAAAACAAACACAUGAUCCCUUCAUAGAAGUAUUAGGUCAAGCCAAAGUAAAAGUUUCUUUGACUGAUGUUAAGCUUUAAAACCUUGUAUCAUUUUCUGACUAUCAUUAUUCUUUAUGACAUCCUCUAAAAAAAUUAUUCUUUAUGAUAGGCCUUGUAAUGUAACUCUAAAAUUUGUAAAAGUGAAACCGUAACAAUUGGAAAAACAGAGAGAAAAUAGGAUUGAGAAGUCCAAAAGAAUGCUUUGAACAAAAAAGGAAAACAAUCGCGACAACAACCAUGAAAGAUAAUGGUUAUUAAGAAAAACAAACCUGAUGUGGACAAAUAGACAUGGAAUGAAGCACCUCUGCAACAAAAAUAGGCCAAAUAGAAAGAACAUGUGAGUUAAUUAUACACAAAAAACAGAAAAAACAAAAAAAAAAAGUAAAAACAGAAACAAUAAAUCAUACUCCCUCCAUUCCUUUUCUUUUGAUGUUUUAGAACUUCAACUAUAUUCCCUUUUGAGUAUAUCAUAAUAAAUGAAGGGAGAAAUUUCGGCAAGAACUUUAUUUUUUUCCCUUUUCAAAAUACUCUGUUAAAUCCACACACAUGACAUGGUUUCUUAGUAAAAUAAAGGGAAAAACAGCAACAAAAUAUAUCCACAUCUGAUUCAUCAAAUUCUAAAUUGCCAAUUUCACUACAUCUGUUUAUCUAAAGAGAACUUGGACCAAUCCAAAUACCAAUCUUGUCUUUAUGGACCAUUUUGACAUUUUACGACCAUCUUGCAAUCAAAAUAAAUCUUAAUUUUAUUCCACUUCAUCAGACAUAGUACCUCAACACAACAUCACUAAUUCCAUUAUACAUCUAAAUCUCUCCCUCACAUACUUAAGUGAAUCUUUACCACUCAACAUCACCAAAUAUUUAAAAAAUUUGCUAGUGCCUGCAUUUAUAUUAUUAAAAGGGCAUGCAAAUUAAAUAUAAUCCCCAAUAUAAGAUAGUAUACCUUAUAAUAUGAUUUGAAGCAAUAAAAAAACAGAAGCAUUAAAAAAACAGCAUCAACAUUAAAAACUGAGAAGACAAACCACAACUACAUAACACUCACCAUCAAUUGAAAAAUUGACAUCUUACAUCCACCUAUAAAAUAAUAGCAUGUCUCAAAUUCGUAUGUUACCUUCAAAUUUGUUGAUUUGCUAAUAGGAAACCAAAUACAACAUCUGAACUGCAAAUAGAAGAGGAUUUAAUCAGGUCAUAACAAAAGAAAAGGGAAAAAAAUAAAUAGGAAUAAUGAAUCAUUAAAAAAUAUUGUAAUUAAGUGGAGAUGUUUGUGUUUUAAGAAGAUGAGGGAGAAAAAAGAAGGUAUUGUUGGAGAAGAUAAGGGGAAAGGAAAAGAAAAACAUAAACCCUUAAAUUAAAACAAACUGGAAAGUCUAUAGACACAACUUUUAAAAACAAAAAAGCAGGUAUAUUCAAGGUCAUAAUCACAUCCACCCAAUGACCAAAAACAAAAUCUUGAAGAAAAUGUUCCAAAUUACAACACCAAAUGACCAAACCAUAAAUCCAAAUUCAUAUCUCAUAAACUAACAAUUUUUACAUGAGCUCGAUUCAAAUUAAUAUGGCCAGAAACUAAAAAAGAAACAAAAACCAUAAGAGUAAGAAGCCAUAAAAUUGAAAUCAACCAGAAACAAAAACCAUAGAAUAAUAAGUCCUAAUCUGGCAAAUCUAUUGGCAUGAAUGAUAACCCAUUUAAUGAAUUCCCAAAACCAAAUAAUAGCGAAUUAACAACCACAUAACAUUUAGGAUGGAAGCAAAUGAAAAUCAAAAUGUUGUAAGGAAUGAAAUAAAAACUCACUUAUGUGGAUUUGGAGAUUACACAAAAUGAGGAAUCUACAAAAACGAAUAAGAUACAACAUUAGCCACUCAAAAACAAAGCUUUGAUUGCUACAAUUUGAAGGUGAAAAACACAAGAAGGGGGGGUUGAAUUGUGUUUUCUUUUUCUCUUAAAAAAUGAUUCUUCUUCUGAUAAAACUUCAGAAGCAGUUUGAUUGCUUCUGAUGAAAUGAUCAGAGUCAGAUUGCAGCGGAAAAGAACAGAGCAGAGAAAAGAAAGACAAAGACACAGGCAGUUAUCCUGGUUCCUUCCACAACACGGAAGUAGUCCAGUCCCCCUUGCACUUCCAAGGAGAUUUCACUAUAAUCACAAGAUUACAACUGCUCAAUACUUUCAAAGUAUGAGACUUCACAAAACAAUGCUCAAGCACACACGCAAGAGUCUUCCAAUGCUCAAGCACUAAGCAAGAGACUUCUAAUGCUCAAGCACGCAGGCAAGAGACUUCUAAUCAAACAAAAAUACAGAGAAUUGAGUUUGAAUUGAACACUUGAUAUACAAUCAGUGGUGUUCACAAUACAAUACAGAAAAGACUCUAGACUUUGAAUUUCUAAGAUGUAUCAAAUCAGUGCAGAAAUUCAGUGUGCUUUUUAGAAUCAAAUUGACAGAGUUUUGGCGCUUUUAAACUUAUGUAUCUCUCUCUAAAAUCUUCAAGUCUUCAUUCCUUUAUAUAGAGGUGUGAAAGAGACGUUGAGAUAAUCAGCACGUCUAAAGAGUCGUUUGAAAUCCUUUGAUUAUCCACCAGUGAUCCUUUGCCUGAUUUGGGUGUAGUCCUUUGAAGAAUAAACUUCAAAUUCAUUCCCAUCUUGAGUGUACAAAUUCUGCAGGCAUGGCUGUUGUUUUGUCUUGUAGCGUAGACAGAAAACAGAGUAGUGGAGGUAGUGGUUGUACACUUGUACUUUGUCAACUCUAUUAAUGAGAGACAAGUGCUCAGUGCUAUCCAUAUAUCCGUUGAUACCUCCCUUUCAAUUCUUCGUUCUUCUUUGAUAAGACUGAAUUGAGAAUCAGCUACUUUGAAUCUUCAGUUUGAUUAAAAGAUCAAAUGUAGCUUCUGGUGAAGAUAUUGCUUCUGAUGAAAACUUUUGCUUCUGAUGACUUUCUGCUUCUGAUGACGUCAUCUCUUCAGGAGCAGUUUAGCUUCAGGAGCAGUUUUCUUCAGAUGCUCAGAAUUUCUUUUUCUUUCCAUUGUUCUUCCAAGACCUAUUGAAAUAACUUGAGUAGCCUUUGGUCCUGUACACUUGAACAAUUAUUAGUAAUAACCAAUUGACAAUUUUUAAUACCUUGUUAUCAUCAAAACUCAAUAAGGUUCAUUGUGAAACACAUUUUGUUCCAACAAUCUCCCCCUUUUUGAUGAUGACAAACAAUAGUAUUUAAAAUGUUCAAUUGUUGUUGAUCUAAUUAAUAAGUUGACUACUGGGACAGAGGUUUGUAAGCUCCCCCUGAGUCUAAUAGAUCUUUAAGGUGAGGUUUGUAAGCUCCCCCUAAGUUCUAUUCUUAUUAAUUAAAUUUCAAUAAAAUACUUAUAAAAUCAAAUCAGAAGUAUUUAAAAGAAAUUUAGAAGAGGUUAUAGUAGGACUCAGUGCCUUAACAAAUACUAUACAUUUACUCCCCCUUUUGUCAUCAACAAAAAGAAUAGAAACAAAAGAAAGAGUAUCAGAGCAAGCAGCAUUAAACAGUAAAUAUCAUCAGAGUUAAAGCUUGUAAAACAUAUUGAAGGUGAAAAAGCACAAGAUCCAGAAACAAUGAUAAUAUAUAUAAAGAAGAUUAAGAUACAAGGACACAGCUACGAAGAACAAAAGUAAAAAACAAGCUAGAGUUGGGUGUGCAACUAAGGUUGGGCUUGCUUAUACAAUUGUUCUAAGAGAUACUUGAUCUGAUCAUCCUUCUUCUGAAGUAGCUCAUCCUUUUCCCUCAUUCUUCGUUUAUAUCCAGCCUGAAUUCUAGCAGCCCUAGUGAUGUACUCUUCUUCUGGAUAGAAAGGAGUGAUGUCCAGCAGAGGCACAAAAUUCAGCUCUUUCUCCUUAGCUGCUUCAUGCAUAUCAUCCAAAAGCUUCUUCAGCAUAGCAGAGUGAGAUGACACACAUUUAGUUCUAAGCUGAUCCAACAGCUCAUCAAAGCUCUUCUGUAGAUCCAUCCACUGAUCAUAAUAGUGAAUAGGAGGUGCAGGAACUGUUCUGCGAAGAAUCAGUGCCUGAAUCUCAUCACUAAGUCUGAUCAGUUGUUCCUCUAUAUACUCAGACUCCAGGAUAUGGUCAGGGAUGGGUGAAGGUUCAGUUUGAGUUGUAUUUGAUGUGGAAGGUUGGUCAGAGGUUAAGUCUAUUAUAGUGGGUGAAUCUGGUUGUUGUUGUUGUUCUGUUGUUUGGUCAGAAGUUGUUUGGUCAGGAGCAACUUGUUCAGAAGCAGUUUGCUCCUGAACAGUUUGCUCAGGGAUGGUUUGGAUUUCUGUUUGGGUUUCCAAGACAGUCUUUUCAGAAACUGUCUUAGAGGCCUUAGUGGGUGUUGGUUGCAUUUCACCACCUAGAUGUUUUUCUAAGUUGUGAAGGGUUGAGGAUUCUUGGUGUUGGGGGGUUUCUGAAGUAGUUGCAUCUGAAGCUACUUCAGAGGCUUUUUGUGGAGAUUGGUUAUUUGGUGAGUUUGUUUGGGUAGGUUCAGGUUGUUGUAUACUAACAGGUUCUGGAGUAUCUGGAUAUAGUGGAUGAGUAGUAGGCAAAUUGAAUUUCUCACAAAGUUUUAUCCUAUUUUUUGAAAAUUCUAUUUGAGUACUCUCAUAGUCAAGUGUUCCAUACUCUGUUAGUUUGGUAGGUUUGGUUUUUAGAAGCUUGUUUAUAUGUUGGCUAAGGGGUUGGUCAUCUGAUUCUGUGGAUGAUGAAGAGGGUGAAGAGGGUAGAGAUAGAGACUGAGUAUUAGUUGGAGCUUUAGAUGGAUUACCUGAGGACUGAGCUUCUGGAUGAAUUGCUUCUGGAGCUGUUGAAACUGGAUCUGAUGAAGUUGCUCCUGAAGCUUGCUUAUUCUUCAAGGCUUGAGAAAGCAGAGUUGCUCCAUACUGAACUGUUUCUAACUCAGACGCUAAAGCAGCAAUGUCAGGAGUAGGCACAUACCCUGCAGCCUUGAGACGCUCAUCCCUUUCUUUCUCAAACACUUCCUUCAACCUUUUCUUUUCUGCUAUCUUGGAUGCAGAAACCUCUCUAGCGUACUGCCUCAUUUCUUCAGUCAUUUCAAAACUGGGCAUGACUAUGGGCUCAGAAGUUGCAGUCCUUUUUGCCUUCUUGGGGCUUGAGUCUUCAUCCCAGUUCUCUUCCAGUUCUUUCAACAUUUCUUCCCUUCUUCCUUCAGCUGUCUUCAGAUUUCUUGUUAAAUUAGACCUCUUCCUUUGGAUGGUCUGAAGAGCAGCUUCUCUUUUAUUUUUGGGACUUGAAGGCUUUUCAGAAGCAGCUUGAUCAGAAGCAGCUUGUUCAGAACCAGCUUGUUCAGAAGCAGGCUGUUCUGUUGUUUCUUGAGUACUCCUUGUCCUUUUUCUGAUAAGAGGGACAUCAUCCAAAUCCUCCACUUCCUCAAGAAUGGUGGACAUAGCAGAUUUUUCCUUCUUAGCUUUCUUAUGCUUCUGAGCACCCACCUCAGUAGCAUCUUCAGCAAGGUAUUCUUCCUUGGUGAUCUGCUUCUUUUUAGAUUUUCUGCCUUUGGCCACAGGCAGAUCACUACCAUACAUUUCUUCUGGGAUAUCUUUCAGGCUGAUUUUCUUGUUGUAGCUCUUGUAGUAGUCCAAGAUGUAGGCCCUCUGCACAUCCAGGGGAUCUUUCUUGCAGAUAGGGAUGUGAUGAGUGACUAGAUCAGAUAUGACAUCAGAUUCAUGCAUAUCUGUAUCUAGUUUCUUGCAAGUUGAAAUCAGCCUCAUCUUGACUAGAGUUGCCCCAUUGAUUAUUUUUCCUGUGACUGCUCCCAGCUUCUGAUUAUCAUAAAUACCCACGUCUUUCAGGGCACUUAGGAGUCCUCCUUCUUGAAAGAUUAUGGAGAGCAGCCUUCCAUAGGGAACAAACUUCCUGUUCUCCAUCUGGCUCUUCUUGAGUUCCUUGAUCAUGUAUUUAAACAUAUACUUGGGAACAUUCAUUGUUGUUUCCUGAGAGAUGGUGUGAUGCAGAAAGACUUUGUGACCAAGUGAAGGUUGAUCAUUUCCUCCACCUUUGGGAAAAAUGUUUUCAUUUUGGAUCUUCAGCAGCAUUUUCUUUUCCAUGCUUAAGGUGCUGUAAGGCUUAGCAUCCUUUGAUCCGUAGAUAGUGUUGUUUACUAUCUCCUUCCAUGGGCUUGUUCUGGGGUUAGGAAUCUCUUCUCCAUCGUAUGUCCCAGAAGCAUCCCUUCUCAUGGCUUGAGCAAUCACAUGCUCAUUGAUUGUUACAGGAAUCCCCAUGACGUUUGAUCUAAUCUCAGUCCCAGUGAAGGCGAGUAGACCCAUUUCUUCUCUGGUUUUUCCCUCCAAAGUAGGAUCAACCAGAAUCAUCUGAGCUUCUUCCUGUUUAGCAGCAACUUUGUCAAACACUGAAGCUCUUACCCAGAAUUGUCUGACAAACACUUCAUAAGUAGGACCGUUGAGAAGACUGAAGUAACUCAUCAGCUUCUGCUUUUUGUAGAAUCUUACCAAGUCGCAUCCAUGAUGAGUUAGAGAAGUGAAAUCCACUGGAUUUUCCGCUUGAAUGAUUAGAUCCCAUUCCUCAAUCGACAUAGUUCUUCCUUUGAUUUCAUAAGCAGGAGUAUCUAUAUCCAUAUUCGAUGAAGAACCACCGGCAGAACUUGAAGAUGCCAUUGAUUUUAAGUAGAAUUAGGGUUCUAAGGUGUUUUGAGAGGUUGAGAGAAUGUGCUUACUUACACAGAGGGUUGAGAAGAAAUUAGAAAGUGUUUGUUGUGAAGUGAGAAGUGUGUGAAAUGACUUAGUGUUUUUUAUUAAAACGUUUGUAAUUCAGAAGGGACAAACAAACACAGCAUUAAUGACAAAUUGGGGGCGCGUGUAAGUAUGUUAAAAAGCGAAUAAAACAUCAUUGCCCUUUUUGUUAUACUCCAAUACAAAUAGACCACGUCAGAGACUCUUCAGAAAACUACUUUUUGGGUAAUGGGACAGCUGUUUACAUAAAGUAACUACCAACGUUCCCACUAACCAAGCUAUUCAGAAGCAAAGAAUAACACUUCUGAAGUUUUAGUGCUGACGUCAUCUUCAGAAGCACAUUUUCCUCAGAACCUCAGUUAAGAGCUUCUGAUGAACCAAAAUGCUCCUGAAUAAACUUCAGAACCAAACUUCUUAUUCAGAGGCAAGCAAUUUUUCAAUCAGACACAAAAUGCAUGUUCAAAUUUUUCUUAAUAAAAUCAAAUCUUUCAACAGACAAAGGUUUUGUAAAUAUAUCAGCCCAUUGAUGUUCAGUAUCAAUGAAUUGUAUAUCUAAAAUUCCUUUUUGAACAUAGUCUCUGAUAAAAUGGUGUUUGAUUUCAAUAUGCUUGGCUCUUGAAUGUAGAAUUGGAUUCUUUGACAAACAAAUAACAGCAGUAUUAUCACAAUAAAUGGGAAUACUGUUAGCAUUGAUCUGAUAGUCUUCCAACUGAUGUUUCAUCCAAAGUAGUUGUGUGCAACAACUUGCAGCUGAAAUGUACUCUGCUUCUGCUGUAGACAUAGCAAUAGUUGCUUGUCUUUUGCUUGCCCAGGAUAUCAGAUUCUCUCCCAGGAAUUGACAAUUUCCACUGGUUGAUUUUCUUUCAAUCCUAUCACCAGCAUAAUCAGCAUCACAGAAUCCAAUCAACUUAUAAUCUAGGGAUUUCCUAUACAGGAGUCCAAGAUUAGUUGUUCCUUUCAGAUACCUGAAGAUUCUCUUAACUGCAGUUAAAUGAGAUUCUCUAGGAUCUGAUUGAAAUCUUGCACACAAGCAUACACUGAAUAAAAUAUCAGGUCUAGAUGCAGUGAGGUAUAACAGAGAACCAAUCAUACCUCUGUAUAGCUUCUGGUCUACUACUGUUCCAGUAUCUUCUUUGCUUAAGGUGCAGGUUGGAUGCAUUGGAGUGUUCAUCACUUUACAAUCUUCUAGCUUGAACUUCUUCAGAAGCUCCUUUGUAUAUUUUGUUUGAUGAACAUAUACUCCUUCUUUACUUUGGUUGAUUUGAAUUCCCAGAAAGAAUUUCAAUUCUCCCAUCAUACUCAUUUCAAAUUCAUCCUGCAUUAACUUAGAAAAUUCUUUGCAAAGAGAUGCAUUAGUAGAACCAAAUAUUAUAUCAUCAACAUAUAUUUGCACAAUCAAAAUAUCUUUCUUAAGAGUCCUUCUGAAGAGUGUUGUGUCAACUUGUCCUCUUUCAAAAUCAUUUUUAAUUAAGAAAUUACUUAGUCUAUCAUACCAAGCUCUGGGAGCUUGUUUCAAGCCAUAUAGUGAUUUCUUAAGUUUAUAAACAUGGUCAGGAUGCUUAAGAUCCUCAAACCCAGGAGGUUGUUUAACAUACACUUCUUCUUCAAUGACACCAUUAAGAAAAGCACUUUUGACAUCCAUUUGAUAUAAUAUUAUGCCAUGAUUAAUUGCGUAGGAUAGAAGUAACCUGAUUGCUUCCAAUCUUGCAACUGGAGCAAAUGUUUCAGUGUAAUCAAUGCCUUCUUGUUGACUGUAGCCUUGAGCAACAAGUCUGGCUUUGUUUCUGGUUACUUCUCCUUGUUCAUUCAGCUUGUUUCUGAAUACCCAUUUUGUUCCAAUAAUGUUCUUCUGAGAAGGUUUGGGUACCAGAUCCCACACAUCAUUCCUUUGGAAUUGAUUUAGCUCUUCUUGCAUAGCUAAUAUCCAUCCAUCAUCUGAGAGAGCUUCUUCAACAGUUUUAGGCUCAAUUAUUGAAAGCAGUCCUAUUAAAGACUCUUCUUGUCUAAAAUGUGAUCUUGUUCUUCUAGGACUAUCUUUGCUUCCAAUGAUUAACUCCUCAGGAUGUGAAGAUUUGUGCUUGAAUUUAGGUUGAAUAACCUGCUGAGUGUUAUCUUGAAAGUCCUCAGAAGCACUUUCAUUCUGUACUUUUGGGCUAGGUUCUGCUUCUGAAUUAGACUCAGCUUCUGGAGUGAUUUCAGCUUCUGGACAAGAUUCAACUUCUGUAUACUUUUCAGAAUCAGAAGGUUGAUCAGAUUCUGAUGCAUCUUCAGAAUCAGUUGUACCUGCAUUACUUUCACUUUGCUCUGAAGUUUUACUUCCAGGCUCUCUAUCAUCAAAUUUUACAUGCAUAGAUUCUUCAACACAUUGUGUUUCUGAAUUAUACACUCUGUAUGCCUUUGACCUUUCAGAGUAACCUAAAAAGAUUCCUCUUUGAGCCUUGGCAUCAAAUUUCUUCAGAUAGUCUUUAGUGUUUAAGAUGUAACAAGUACAUCCAAACUGAUGAAAGUAAGAGAUAUUGGGUCUUCUUCCUUUAAAGAGUUCAUAUGCUGUUUUCUCCAACAUAGGUCUGAUAUAGAUCCUAUUUUGAAUAUAACAUGAAGUAUUGACUGCUUCUGCCCAAAAAUGUUUAGCUAAGUUGUUUUCAUGGAUCAUGGUUCUGGCCAUUUCUUGUAAGGUUCUGUUCUUUCUUUCUACAACCCCAUUUUGUUGUGGAGUUCUAGGAGAAGAAAACUCAUGGAGAAUCCCAUGUUUUUCACAAAAAAGUUCAAAUGGCUCAUUUUCAAAUUCUCCACCAUGAUCACUUCUGACUUUCAAAAUUUUCAAUUCUUUUUCAGAUUGUAUUUGAGUGCAGAAGCUGCUAAACACUUCACAUGCAUAGUCUUUACUUUUAAUGAAUUUUACCCAAGUCCAUCUGCUGUAAUCAUCAACAAUGACUAAUCCGUAUUUACUUCCAUAUAAAGAUGCAGUGUUAACUGGACCAAAAAGAUCAAUAUGGAGUAAUUCUAAGGGUCUGGAGGUUGAUACAAUGUCUUUAGAUUUGAAAGAACUUUUCACAAUUUUCCCUUUCUGACAUGCACCACAAAGUGCAUCUGAAUGAUAAUCAAUGUUAGGCAAUCCUUUGACCAGUUGUAACUUGCUAAUUUUAGAAAUUAAUCUCCAAUUAGCAUGUCCCAACCUUUUAUGCCAUACCCAUUUUUUAUCAUUCAUUGACAGAAGGCAAACUACCUUCUGAUCAGCCAGAUCAGAGAAAUUUAUUUUAUAGACAUUCUCAACUCUCUUUCCCUUGAAUGUAAUGGAUUUGUCAUCCUUGUUGACUAGUGUGCAGUUGGUCUUACUGAACGUUACAUCAUACCCAUUGUCACAAAAUUGACUAAUGCUCAAUAGGUUAUGCUUCAGACCAUCUACUAGCCACACAUUAUUAAUUGAGAUGGAGGAAUUACCAAUAGUACCUGUACCAAUGAUCUUUCCAGUUUGGUUGCCACCAAACUUCACUUCUCCUCCAUCUUUCAUUGUAAGGGUAAGGAACAAAGCUUUCUCUCCAGUCAUGUGCCUUGAACAUCCGCUGUCUAGGUACCAUGACCUUUGUUUCUCUCUUGCCCUUAAGCACACCUGCAUUUUUGGCCAAUUCAGAUUUAGGUACUCAUAUCUUCAUGGGUCCUUUUGGGUUAGUUUUGGAGGUUUUACUUUUCCUCCCUUGUACCUUAGGGUGAAUGCUGAGUGGCUUCUGAUCAUUCAAUACUUUAGGUUUGACACCUUUUGGUAUUGUUUUCUCAGAAGCAGUAGCUGCUUUGUUCUUCUGAUCCUUUUGUUUUGGAAUUUUAGAUUCUGGUUUAAUCAGAUUCUGAUGAACAGGUUCUGAUCUUUUCAGAAUUUUAAUCUUUUGACUCUUAGGAUCAGAUUUUGUCAUUACCUUGAUCUUAAGAUUCUCUGGCUUUGAUGUGAUCUUAGCCUGUGAACCUGAAGCUUCAGGUUUUGACUGAACAGCAGUUAUAGCAUUUGUACCUUCAGGCACAAAGGUGGAUUUCAAUCCAUCCUUGAUACAAUCACAGUAGCUCUUGAGACUGUAUUCUUUGGAUUUCUCCUCAGAAUAUCCAAUCCCUUUGCCUUUGUUCUUGUAUGUGCUGUAGAUCAUAGAAGCAACUUUGCUUCUGUCUAUUCCAGCCAUAAUAAAAUCAUCCAAGGCAAUCUCAUGUUUAUUGCCUGAACCUUUAUCACAUUUUUCUUGUAGCUUCUGACAAAGACUCUUGAGUCUAUCUUCAUAUGUUGUUGAUAUGAGGUUAAACCCUUUGAGUUCUUCUUCAGAAGCUUUCAGUUCCAAUAGAGUUGAUUUUUGUUGUUUCAUCAAAUCAACAUAUUUUUCUUUUAAAUCUGUCAACUCAUUGGUUCUGUGUUCAAACAGUGAUAAAAGUUCUUUUAGAGAAUCAACAAGUUCUUGUCUAGGGAUUUUGGAAUAUACCUCAUUUUCAUCUUCUGAAUCUGAUUCAGCUUCUGAUACUGCUUCUGAUGAUACUGUUGCCACUAACCCAACGGCUGCCUUAGCAUCAUCAUCAGCUUCUUCUUUAUCAGAACCAGAUUCACUAUCCAAAUCUUCCCAGGUCGCCAUCAAGCUCUUUUUGAUUUGCUUUCUGAAUUUACUGGAGUUGAAGCUUGAUUUCUUGGAUUUGCCUUUAAACUUCUCCUUCUGAAGAUCAGGGCAAUCAGCAAUGAAAUGACCAGGCUUCUUACAAUUGAAGCAUCCCUUCUGAUCUUCUUUCUUGAAGUUCUUGUAGCUACCUCUCUUGCUCAAAAAUUUCUUCUGCUUCCUUGCCAGAUACUCAAGCUUGUUGGACAGCAUAGCCAUCUUUACAGAUUGAUCUUCAUCAGAAUCUCCAUCAGGUGAUUCUUCUUCAGAUUCACUGGCUUUGUAGGCUUUGGAAGACUUUGAGGUCUUUCCUUUAGAUGGUAAAGCAAUGGAUUUACUCUUCUUAGAGGUUUCAUGCUCAUUUAAACUCAUUUCAUGCACUUUGAGUGAGCUAACAAGAUCUUCAACACUUAAAGUAUUUAGAUCCUUAGCUUCCUCAAUAGCAGUUACUUUGGGUCUCCAUCUUGAAGGUAAGCUUCUCAAAAUCUUACUAACAUGAUCAGAAGCAACAUAGCUUUUCUUCAGUAUCUGCAAUCCAGAAACUAAAGUUUGAAAUCUUGAGUACAUUUCUUCUAUACUCUCAUCAUCCUUCAUUCUGAAAAGUUCAUACUGAUGAACUAGCAUCAAAGCUUUAGCCUCUUUUACUUUCUUGCUGCCUUCAAAGUUUGCACAUAGAGAAGCAAACAUAGCCUUCGCAGUAGAUUUGUCACUCAUUUUCAUGUAUUCGGUGCGAGGUAUAGAAGCCACAAUGAUUCCUCUUAUCUUGUGAUGUUUCUUAUAAAGCUUCUUCUGAGCAGGAGUAUGUAUUCUUCUGUCUAUAGCAGCUCCUUCUUCAUCCAAAUCCAGAUCAUCAACUCCAUCUUCCAGUAUAUCCCAUAGCUCUUCAUCCAAUCCCAUGAUAAAGCUGUACAUAUUAGUUUUCCACCAUGAAAACUCUUCUGGAUCUCCAUUAAACUUUGGAGCUUUUCCAGAGUCUGUUUUCUUGUCAGCAGUAUCAUAGUCAUGCUUGACACUUGUGUAUUUUGUAGUAACUGAUUCCUCAUCUCCAGACAUGUUUUUCUAAUAGAUCUUGAACUGUAACACGGUUAAGUGCUGUGAUAACAGAGCAAGCUCUGAUACCAAUUGAAGGUGAAAAACACAAGAAGGGGGGGUUGAAUUGUGUUUUCUUUUUCUCUUAAAAAAGGAUUCUUCUUCUGAUAAAACUUCAGAAGCAGUUUGAUUGCUUCUGAUGAAAUGAUCAGAGUCAGAUUGCAGCGGAAAAGAACAGAGCAGAGAAAAGAAAGACAAAGACACAGGCAGUUAUCCUGGUUCCUUCCACAACACGGAAGUAGUCCAGUCCCCCUUGCACUUCCAAGGAGAUUUCACUAUAAUCACAAGAUUACAACUGCUCAAUACUUUCAAAGUAUGAGACUUCACAAAACAAUGCUCAAGCACACACGCAAGAGUCUUCCAAUGCUCAAGCACUAAGCAAGAGACUUCUAAUGCUCAAGCACGCAGGCAAGAGACUUCUAAUCAAACAAAAAUACAGAGAAUUGAGUUUGAAUUGAACACUUGAUAUACAAUCAGUGGUGUUCACAAUACAAUACAGAAAAGACUCUAGACUUUGAAUUUCUAAGAUGUAUCAAAUCAGUGCAGAAAUUCAGUGUGCUUUUUAGAAUCAAAUUGACAGAGUUUUGGCGCUUUUAAACUUAUGUAUCUCUCUCUAAAAUCUUCAAGUCUUCAUUCCUUUAUAUAGAGGUGUGAAAGAGACGUUGAGAUAAUCAGCACGUCUAAAGAGUCGUUUGAAAUCCUUUGAUUAUCCACCAGUGAUCCUUUGCCUGAUUUGGGUGUAGUCCUUUGAAGAAUAAACUUCAAAUUCAUUCCCAUCUUGAGUGUACAAAUUCUGCAGGCAUGGCUGUUGUUUUGUCUUGUAGCGUAGACAGAAAACAGAGUAGUGGAGGUAGUGGUUGUACACUUGUACUUUGUCAACUCUAUUAAUGAGAGACAAGUGCUCAGUGCUAUCCAUAUAUCCGUUGAUACCUCCCUUUCAAUUCUUCGUUCUUCUUUGAUAAGACUGAAUUGAGAAUCAGCUACUUUGAAUCUUCAGUUUGAUUAAAAGAUCAAAUGUAGCUUCUGGUGAAGAUAUUGCUUCUGAUGAAAACUUUUGCUUCUGAUGACUUUCUGCUUCUGAUGACUUUCUGCUUCUGAUGACGUCAUCUCUUCAGGAGCAGUUUAGCUUCAGGAGCAGUUUUCUUCAGAUGCUCAGAAUUUCUUUUUCUUUCCAUUGUUCUUCCAAGACCUAUUGAAAUAACUUGAGUAGCCUUUGGUCCUGUACACUUGAACAAUUAUUAGUAAUAACCAAUUGACAAUUUUUAAUACCUUGUUAUCAUCAAAACUCAAUAAGGUUCAUUGUGAAACACAUUUUGUUCCAACACAAUUUUCCAAAAUAAAAAAGUGAAUAGAAUAAAAUAUUUCUCUGACAAAUACUCCUCAAAAUAUAAAGAUUACCCAUGAGAGUGUUUUUGUCUACUUGUGGAUUCAACUUCACUCAUUCAUCUAUAAUUUCUUUCUACUUCCUGCACAUGACAAUAGUAUCUUCAAUAAUCGGAGAACAUCAUUGGAUAAUGUUUACUCAGCUGAUUUAUGUUCCUCCCUAUGUCAGUUUAUUGCACGAAUUAAAAACAAAUUAUCAUCAAAGCAAAAAUAGCAAUUGACACAAACAUUUCAAAGUUGAAAAUAACCAUUUCAAUAUCCACCAGAUUUUGCAGCAGCUCCAACAAAAAUCUUCAACCUGAAAAUUAAAUUAAGAAAUUAUCUUAAGCAAGGUUCUUAUUUCAUUUCUAAUAAUUUAGUACUAAUACUAAUAACAAACAUUAAAAACUAAACCUGUCAAGGAUAUCUUCUCAUCUUCAUCCUCAUCAUUUCCUUGAGACUGUAGUGUUGGAGGAUAGGAACUUCCAUGGCGCUGCCAAUCUCAGUGCUCCCAUUCGAAGGUGAUGCCGUAUCAGAAGUUUAUUGCAACGAAGAGGAAGAUAAAAUAAAACUCUUUGUAGAUCUGAAACUUUAAUGUAAAUGGAGGGAAGGAGAAGACAAAGAAUGGUUGGAAGAGAGAUAUGUGUGGAGAGUGAACUAAUUUUGCAGAUCCUUUUUUGUACUUUGUUACCCAAUCUGUUUCAGCAACCAUGCAUCAAAGUAAAGAGAGAAUGAAGAUGAGUAGAUCCGCAGAGAAUGAGGGGAGGAGAAGAGAAACAAUGGUUUGGAAAGAGAGAGAUGUGUGAAGUCUUUCUAUUCUCUCUGAAAAGCUGAUCUAUGGGGUUUUGAAAAUCCAAAUAAACCCCUAUGGUUUGUAUAGAGUAUAGACGCUCCUCCCUCCCUUCAACCAGAAAUCAGCCAUUGUCAGAUCGAAUAAAUUUUUUACCUGAGAAAAACUGAAACCCUGACACAAAGGGGAAAUUUUCCACAUCUCUGAGCAAAAGGGGCAAAAGAACACAGCGAAUUGGAAAAAAUCGCAGCUGCGCACAGCCUAUAACAACUGAUGAGUUACUGGUAGACCAACGCAGACGUAAAAAAAGCUGUAAACACCGAAUCAAAUAGGACAAAGUGAAAAUCUCACAAACCAGGGUAAAAAAAGCAGAGCGUUUGUAAUCCACGAAGGGCUGAGAAGGCAGGAAUCAGCUUGUAGUUGAUAGAACAGGGAAAAUUUGCGCUUCUGCUUUAGAAGUAUAGAUUUCAGCCGUCCGAUGAAUCCAACGCCGGGACAAAAAUAAAGAAAGAAGAAAAGUUAGGUACAAUUCCUUACGUGCUUUUCGUAUGUUUCUUAACUAAAUUCACCUCAAAUCCAUAAUUUUCUCAAAGUUUGUUAUAUAAAAAAAAAUAUGUAUUCAUCUAGUCCAAAAAGAAAUCCUUGAAAAUUACGAACCAAAACUUCAUACGAAAUGCAGCUAAGGAAUUGUACCUAAUUUUCUCCAUAAAGAAAUACUACCUCCGUCUCUAUAUAAGACCCUUUUGCUAUUAAGAAAGUGAAUAUUUAAUAUUAAAGUUGUUUGUAAGUACCGUUGUUUUUACAAGUUUAUCCUUAAGAGAGAGAGUUAGUUUAUGUUUUCCAUAUGCUACUAGUAACAUACUCGUGCUGACGCACGGGUACAGUAACCAUUUGUUGUUUAAAAGAGUCUGAUUUUCUUUUUAAUGGUUGUUAUAUAUUAUUAUUUAAAAAUUUGAUGUAAUAUUUUAUUUUAGGUUUUGAAAAUGUUAAUAUAACUUCUUUACAUGUGAUGGGCAGUUAUUUCUCUAUAAUGAUUGUUACAUUUUGCAGAAUAUGAUAAUGCACAUUAAAAUAUAAUACAAUUUUUACAUAACAUAAGUUUAUUUAAAUUUGUUAAACUUGAAACGUAAACAGUGUUAUAAUAUUUGAAUAUAAUGGAAAAUGAGAUAUUGUGUGUAUAUUUUAAGUCUUUAUAGAUAUUAAAAAUAAUAUCCAACAGUUUAUUAUAAUAUUACAACUUUUGCUCAAAAAAAAAAAUUACAACUUGUCAUGUAAUAUUAUAAAUAGUUUAACAUCAUUUUAUAAUUGAAUUGAGGUGAUGAUAUUAUAAACAGUUUAAAUGUUUUAGCAUGAACAAUUUUUAUAAAGGACAACUUGUUGUGUAAAUCAAAGUUAGUUUAGUCAAUGAUAAUAUAUCUUGUGUAUUUUAUUUUAUUUUUCUGAAAGAUUAGUCAAUGUUCAUUUAUCCCGUGGAUUUUAGUUUAUGAGGGUUCAAUAUCAUUAUAGAAUUGAAGUGAGGUGACAUGAAACAUUUUAGCAAAACCAAUUUUUUAUAAAUAUCGUUUAUCAAAGUUAGUUUAGUUAGCGACAACUUGUCUCGUGCAUUUAUGUUACUUUUGAAAUUUUAGUCAAUGACCACUUAUCCGAUGCAUUUCAGUUAUCUAUGAAAUUUUAUUCAAUCUCUGUUUAUCUUGAGCAUUUUAGUUGAUAAGUGUUCAAUAUCGUUGUAGAAUUGAAUUGAGGUGAUGAUGUUAUAAAUAGUUUAAAUGUUUUAGCAGGAACAGUUUUUAUAAAGGACAACCUAUUGUGUAAAUCAAGGUUAGUUUAGUCAUUGAUAAUUUAUCCCUUGUAUUUUAUUUUAUUUUUCUCAAAGUUUAGUCAAUGUUCAUUUAUCCCGUGCAUUUUAGUUUAUGAGGGGUCAAUAUCAUUAUAGAAUCAAAGUGAGGUGACAUUAUAAACAACAGGAACAUUUUAGCAAGACCAAUUUUUUAUAAAUAUCGGUUAUCAUAGUUUGUUUAGUUAGCGACAGCUUAUCUCGUGCAUUUAUGUUACUUUUGAAAUUUUAGUCAAUGACCACUUAUCUGAUGCAUUUCAGUUAUCUACGAAAUUUUAUUCAAUCUCUGUUUAUCCUGUGCAUUUAAGUUGAUAAGUGUGCAAUAUCGUUGUAGAAUCGAAUUGAGGUGGUGAUGUUAUAAAUAGUUUAAACAUUUUAACAGAACAAUUUUUAUACAGGACAACUUGUCGUGUAAAUAAAGGUUAGCUUAGUCAAUGAUAAUUUAUCCCGUGUAUUUUAUUUUUUUCUGAAAGUUUAGUCAAUGUUCGUUUCUCCCGUGCAUUUUAGUUUAUGAGGGUUCAAUAUCAUUAUAGAAUUAAAGUGAGGUGGCAUCAUAAACAACAUGAACAUUUUAGCAAAACCAAUUUUUUCUAAAUAUUGUUUAUCAAAGUUAGUUUAGUUAGCGACAACUUCUCUCGUGCAUUUAUGUUACUUUUGAAAUUUUAGUUAAUGACCACUUAUCCGAUGCAUUUCAGUUUUCUGCGAAAUUUUAUUCAAUCUCUGUUUAUCCUGUGCAUUUUAGUUGAUCAGUGUUCAAUAUCGUUGUAGAAUUGAAUUGAGGUGAUGAUGUUAUAAAUAAUUUAAAUAUUUUAGCAUGAACAGUUUUUAUAAAGGACAACUUAUUGUGUAAAUCAAGGUUAGUUUAGUCAAUGAUAAUUUAUCCCGUGUAUUUUAUUUUAUUUUCUGAAAGUUUAGUCAAUGUUUAUUUAUCCCGUGCAUAUUAGUUUAUGAGGGUUCAAUAUCAUUAUAGAUUUGAAGUGAGGUGAUGUUAUAAAUAGCAUGAACGUUUUAGCAAGACCAGUCUUUUAUAAAUAACAAUUGGUUAUGUGUAUAAAAGUUAGUUAAUCAACGACAACUUAUUCUGUACAUUUAUUAAUUAAUUGUAAAUUUCUUUUUAUGAUAGUUUUUAAAAUUUCCGCCACACCACACGCACUACUACCACACUUCAACUCUAUACACAUUAUCACUCUCUUUCUAUUAUUCAAAUUCCGAAAUCCUCACACGUCUCACAUAUCAAUGACAUUUUGACUAUAUAUAUUAUGACUUGUACUGUGCAUAAUAAUAAUUUUUUAUUUUUACCAUGGACAAUUCUACCUAUGUAUAAUAUUUAUUUAAAAAUUUGUAUCCCUGACGACUUGUCCUAUAUAUAACAGUUAGUUUAAAAUUUAUAUAAUUGUUGACUUGUAUUGUACGUUAUAAUUAUUCUAAUUUUAUGUUAUUGACAACAUCUCAUGUGUAUAAUAAUAGAUUUUUAAAUUUUCAACAGUGACAUUGUCUAUAAUCCUUAAAAAAAAACUUAUAUCGUCUAUAACAAUUAUGCUAAAAAAUUUAUCAGUGUCGAUUUGACCUGUGUCAAAUAAUUAUUAAAUUUGAACAUUGAACACUUAUCAAGUGUGAAAUAAAGAUUUUAAAAUUUAUAUCAACGUCGAUUUGUCUUUUGUGUUAUAACUAUUUUAUUUUAUUUUAUCAAAAACAACCUGACUCAUGUAUAAUAAUUAUUUUAUAAUAUGUAGCUUAAUAUUUAUUUUGGACAUUUAAUCAAUACAAUCCCGUGUAUGUGUUUAACGGUGAUGAUAAUUAUUUCUAUAUUUUUAUUUGUGACGACUUGUCUAUUAUAUAAUAAUUAUUUUAAAUUUUCAACAAUGACAACUUCUUCUAUAUAUAAUAUUUGUUUUGAAAAUUUGUGAGACUCACGACUUGUCCAAUGUAUAAUAAUCAUUUUAAAAUUAUAUUAUUGGUGAAUAGUCACAUGUAUGACCGUAGUUUUAAAUUUUUUAUCAAUAACUAAUAUGAGCAAAAAUAUUGGUGAAUAGUCACAUGUAUAACCAUAGUUUUAAUAUUUAUUUUUUUUUGAGAAAAAUAAUUUUGAAAUUUAAAUAGUUAAAUAUAUUAUUUUUAUAAUUUUAAUAUUUUUAAAUAGUUAAAUAUAUAAUAAAAAUUAAUUGAGUGGUAUUAAUUUUGAAAGAGAAGAUAACGACUUCUCUCUCUCCCGUAUACCGUAUAUUUGAAAGGGAAUUUUUAUUUAUUUUUUUGUCAAAAUUUUAAAAGGAACUUUAAAAAAAAAUAUUGAGAUAAAAAAGUUUUGUUUUUAAAUGAGUUAAAAGAAAAUAAGAGGAAUCUUGAAAAUUAGUAAUUUUGAGAUCUGUGUUGUCUAACACUUUCGUUGUUUCUUUGUAAAUUUUUACCACGUUUGACCCCAUCACUCCAUACAAAACUCAAAUGUUUAGGAUGCUUUAGAGUUCAGACCAUGUUUUUGACUGCCUAUUAACUGAAAUUGUCACUAUAGCACCUAAAUAUAUACACAAUACUUCUUCUUUUGCAUCUACUACAUCAAUGGAGUGCAAUUUUUUCUCAAACUUCAUACAUACAACAACAACAACAAAAACAACAUAAGAGACACUAAAAGAUAAGUAUCAGAUCUGUGUAAUUUCUUCUCAACUUUAUGCAUGCAACAAGAAAAACAACACCAUAAGUGACUAUAUGUAUCAGAUCUGGUUUGGAUUUGAGAUUUUUUUAAUAAAUAAGUUUCACAAGUAUUGAAACUGUAGAUCAAUCAUUUAUAAUCGAAGUCCUUCAAAAGUAGAUAUUAGUGACAACUUUCGCCCAUGUAUAAUAAUAAUUUUUAAAGUUAACAAUGACAACUUAUUUCGUGUAUAAUAAAUAUUUUACAAUAUAAUCCCUCAAAAAAAUAUUUUAUAAUAUAUAUAAGUGAUUUUCUUCAAAAAAAAAAUAUAUAUAAGUGAUGACAUGUCACAUGGUUAAUAAUUAUUUUGAAAUUUAUAUGAGUGACGACUUGUUUAUUAUGUUCUAAUUUUUUUUAAAAAAAUUAAUUACAGAUAAUGGUCAUGUAUAACUAAUUUCCACUAAUAACUGUAGACUAAUUUAUUUAUUUUGCUGGACUUCGUUUUUUAGAUAUUGUUAGAAGAUUUAGAUGUUAGUAGAUUUGUAUCAGUGACAAUUUCGCCAUAAUAAUAAUAAUUAUUUUUUUUUUUAAGUUAACAAUAACAACUUGUUUCAUGUAUAAUAAAUAUUUUAUAAUAUAUAUAUAUCAGUGAUGACAUGUCAUAUGGUUAAUAAUUAUCUUAAAAUUCAUAUCGGCUAAAACUUGUGUGUUAUAAUUAUUUUGAAUUUGUACUCAAUGAUAACAAAUGUUGUGUAUAAUUAUAUUAUUUUUUUAAGUUAGUUUUUCACUUACAUUAUGGUUUGAAAAAAAAAAGAGAAUAAUGUUUUUUUGAAGGAAGGAGAAUAAUGUUUAAUAAUAUAUAUCAGUGUAUCUCUUGUCUCGUGUAUAAUAAUUAUUUUAUAAUAUAUAUCAGUGAUGACAAAUCAUAUGUUCAAUACUUAUGUCCUCGUGAGCUUAGCUCAGUUAGUUUGGAUAAUGCAUAAUAUAUCCAAGGUCCGGGGUUCAAACUCCGACCGCGACCAAAAUAUGUUCAAUACUUAUUUUAAAAUUUAUAUCAGCAUGUCUUUAUAAUAAUUUUUUAAAAUUUUUGCGAAGUGACAACUUGUCUCGUUUAAAACAAUUAUUUUAAAAUUAUGAAGUGAUGAGUUGACCCUUGUAUGAUAUAUUUUGUCAAUCUUUUUUAAAACUUGUCUCUUAAACUAAUUUAUACAUCGUUUGUUACUGUAACACCCCGUUACCCAAAAGUGAUUAAAUAACAAUUAUUCAUCAGGGUUAAGCACCAAACGGGCAUGCUACAUUGCAAAUUCAAAAUUCCUUAAAUAGAAAAUAAAACUAUUUAAAUCGACAUCAUUCAUAACCUCAAAAAUUAUGCAGCGGAAAGUUUGCAUUUAAUAAACAUCAACAGUUUAAGUUUCCAACAACAUCUUGGCAUUAAGCCUAAUCAUCAUUAAGUCAACCGACAAGGGCCACAUCAACAAGUUCCAAAAAUUGAUACAUGGAAAGGAAAAACAACAAUAAUUAUAGAUAAUGAUUCUCAUCCCACGUAUCAGAGCCCUAGACACGACAUUGAGCCACCACCAACUACUCAGGGUCACCUGCAAGUUACCCAUAGGAAGGGCAACAUUUUCAAACAGAAGGGGUGAGAUUCACAAUCAAUAAUAAUAAUAUAUAAUUCAUCAAAUGCAUCUAACAACUUAAACUCCAUCAAUUAGUAAUAAUAAUUCGUUUAACGACUCCUAAACCAUAUCAUGUACUCAUCAUAUCAACAGUUAUAACUCGAUAUCAUAAACAACAUCAUUUAACUUCAUAAUCAACAUCUUAAUCAUAAUCAUAUAACAUCAUACUUAUAAUUCGUAUACAACAUGACAACUUCAUAAUCAAUGACAUAAACAACGUAACAACAUCAUAUUCAUAGUUCAUAUACAACAUAACAACAUCAUUAAUUCGUAUUAACAUUCUCCACCAAGCACCUUAUUAACAACUCAUGAAUAGAGGACAACUUAGCAACUAUCCGUAACAUCAUCAUUUCAUAAUAAUAAUUAUUCAUGAAACAUUCCAUUAGCAAUUCAUGAAUAAAAGACAACUUAUCAACUUAACAUAACCAUCAUCAAGUACAUUUAACAACUCAUAGAUAACAUCUCAUAAUCAUCAUCACAACAUUCAUAAUCAUCAUCAUGUAACAUCAUCACAAUCUCAUAUUCAACACCAUAAACAGUCAUCAUAACAUCGUAAUCAAUAUCAUAAACAUCUUCUCAUAAUAAUAUAAACGACACGACAUAAUCAUCACAUCAUAGCAAUAUAAACAACUACAUAUAUUUAACAAUAAUGUUCUUACCUCUUUAACUUUAGUAACACUUACUAAUUCAACCAACAACGACGAUAACUACAAUUAUCCAAUAUAUGUAUAUAUUUCAUAAUCAACAAUAUCAUCAAUAAAAGAUAUCUAACUCAUCAAUUAAAUCUAUCACCCUGUCAUAAUAAUAAUUCAUCAAUAUAUAAGUAUAUCAUCAUUAACAACAUCAACCAAAUGAUAAUUAAAACCAACGACUCAUGCAACAACUCGACACCACCGCUAAGACUCAUGCAAGACAUGACAACUCCACUAAGACUCCUCUACAAAUGCAACUAUGCAUGCGGUACCAACCAGGACCGAAGUCCUCACCGCUUUUGAAUGGUUAAAGCAUUCAUCAGGACCGAAGCCCUCACCGCUGUGAACAACUAAUGUUCCAGGACAUGAGUCCUCUCCGCUGUUUAUGCAUAUGCAAUGGACCUACUUGUGUAUAUCUACAUACAACUUGACCAUGCAUACAUACUCCAUAUGACUCCACUUUUACAACAUGUAUGGUUAAAUAAUAAAUCAUACAUCACAGCCAUCAGCAACAUUCGACAAUUCAGCAAUCCAACCAUUCAGGAUAAUGCAUAAUUUAAUAUAACUAUACUUAAGACAACAACCUCAAUAGCUUAAUCAACAACAUAAACAACGUUACCUAAAUAUUAACCAACUUUAAUUAAACAUUAACCCACUUUAAUUAAAUAUUAACCAACUUAUUAACCAACAUUACCCACAACAUUAGCCAAUAUAUUAACCAACAUAUGCAGCUUAAUCAAUAAUAAACAGCGACAUGGCAGCACACAAACAAUCUCAAGAUAUAACAACAUCAAAUGGUAAUCAACAUCUUAAAACAUCAUAUAUACAUAUAACACUUCAUCAAUCAUUGACAAUAUCGUAUUCACAAAUAUAUACAUACAUAUCUUAAUUCAUCAAUCAUAAACAAUUCUUCACUGUGACCUACGUGCAGUAAUUUGACCAUAACUCAAGUUCUAUAAAUCCUUUUGAAGUCAAACCAACGGUAUUAGAAAGCUAACAUCCAUACCUACAACUUUCGUGUUUACACCUAAGGCCAAUUCUGUACCAAUCAAUACCAGUUUUCAUUUCAAAUUCUGACAAAGUUGUGCUGAAAUUCAUAAAAAUUCACUAAGACCUCCUUUGAGUAUUUUUAUCAUAUCUCAUAAACCAAAAAUCAUUUUCGAGUCAAAUUAAAGCCAUUGGAAAGCUAACAAAAUUAUCUACAACUUUCAUGUUUACACCAAAGACCAAUUCAAAACAGAAACAUGUGAAAAAGACGCAAGAACGCGAAACAGGUGAUGCUGUCUCUGUGCAUCUCGCGAGGCGAGUAAGUUUACUCGCUAUGGCGAGUUGCGACGAACAACCCUACGGGAACAGACCAGUUUUCAGCCAAAAACCCAAUUUUUCAUCCACCCAAACCCCAAAUUUGAUAGGAAACUCAACCUAUGUUUAUUCUACAAUCUGAACAUCGAUUCUUAACACAAUUGCCAUCGUUUCUACACUUUUCAAUCCAAGAAUCAUACUCCAAAAACCUAACCCCCAAUUCCCAAUUUCAACUAGAACUAUGCUAAACCAAAAUCAGAAUUAUAUAACCAUUACCAUUGAGAGAUAGUCUCACCCUUACCUGAAUUCAAUUGCACAAACAAAGCUACAGCAAAAUCGAUCCCCUCUUGCUCUUGUUCUCCCCUUGGCUUGGUUUUCUCUGUUUUCCUCCCAAGUUUUAAUUGUAGGUACAGACAGUUUUCUGUCUUUCUAACUCUUAACUUAACUUCCUUUCUAUUUUCUUAACUCCCUAUAACUCCCUUUAAUUACACCUUAUUCCCACUAAAUUCAAUUAAAUUCUAAUUAACUCCCAAAUUUUCAAAAUAAUAUUAAUUCUCACAUUAUUUUAAUAAUUAUCAUAAUAAAUCAUAUAAUAAAAUAUAGCACACCAAAAAUCAACACCAAUCAACAUAAUUCAUAUUAAAAUCAUACAAAAGACUCUAAAAUAAAUUAAAAAAAUAAUUAAUAACAACUAGGGCGUUACAGUUACUGCCUCACUUCAAAUCUAUACACAUUACUAUUUUUCUACUACUCUCUUUGGUAUGUUGUACGUAUCAAACGAUCUAUGUUUUACCGUUAUUUUUAUGUAACAAUGAAGUAUAUUUACCUUAUGUUUUUAUGAAUAUAAAAAAAAAAAUUAAAUUUUAAUAUUCAUUAAUUAAUGUAACAACACGUCUUUAGAUCUUGUAAAAAAACACGUCGUUAGAUAUAUAUAUAUAUAUGUGUGUAAAAUAACAUUUAUUAAAUUAUAUUUUUAGAGGUUAAAUAAACUACUACUAUUUUUUUAUUAUUUGAUAAAGAAAUUAUUAUUAUUAUUAUUUUUUAUAUAUUUUUUAAAGAAUUUAUUUAUUUUUAUUUUUAUUAUGUUACAUUAAUUUUGCAAUAAAAAAAGUCGAUACUCCUUUACCCCUUUCUAUCUCGUACAAACCUAGAGUAUUUUUUAUAAUUUUCUUUUUAUUUUAUUUUUUGUCAUUUAACUUUAUUCCACACACCAUAUUUAUUUCAAAGUUAAUUUUCUCUCUCUUCACCAAAGAAAUCUGGAAAACUCUCUCAUUCUUAAACAAACCCUAGCCGCCGCCUCCUCCCUCAUUCAGUGUGUCUCCGGCGGUCGUUACAUUGCUCCACCAUCUUCAUUUUUGAAAACCCAUCACCAUAAAAUGAGUCCCCUCCAUCUUCUCUACAAAUUCCAUUUAAAAAUAUCAGGAACGGACAACCUUCGCCGGUGACCACCACGCCGGAGCUUGCAACCACCGCGCCGGGAAAGAGCUUACGUGUUUUCCAGAUCUGGGUCAGAAUUUUUACACAAACACUUAAACCUGGGCUGUUGUCUUCAUCAAGGUCAAGUUCUUUACAUAUUUUGUUUCCAUUACAUGCAACAACAACAAUACAAAUAUGAAAUUGGAUGUGAUUUUGUUUUAUUUCUAGAGAUGUAAAUUUUUUUUUGUAGAUGUAAAAUUUGCUUUUUUGUUGUUGAUAUAAUUUUAAAAUUGUGUUAGGACUGUUUUUGUUAAAUAUACAUGAUAUGAAGGUCAACAACAAAUGAAAUAAUUAAUGAUAUUAGGAAAAUGAAUUCUUAUACCUGCCGUGUUCUUCUUGUUGUCAAAGAGAGAAGAGGAAAAGGAAAAUGAGAGAGGAGAGACAGUUGAGAGAAUGAGAGAGAGAUUUUUUAUUUUUUUUUUGAAAGAGAGAGAAUGAGAGAGUAUUAAAUUAUGAAAGAGUAGUGAAUGACAAUAUAAGAGUAUUUGAAAUUUGAAAUUGAAAAUUUGCCUCCAAUUGAUUCUAGAUCUGACAUUAGAUUAUAUCUUUUUUGUACAAAAGAAAACUUUUUUCGUUUUCCGUGUCAACCAAAAUCGGAUUUAUUUAGUUGGCAUCAAAUGGAAAUGACUUUAUGAAGAGCAAAUGAACUAAACUAGUUAUUUGUAGUUACAUGACAUCAUCUUAGUUAAUUGUGGUAAUUUGGUUGAAUAAAGUAAGUUAAAGACAGAUUUUACCCUUACUUUGGUGAUUUGUCAAUUAACCAGGCUGGGGCAUUAAUAGGAUUUCCACAACAUCUUCUCUUCUUAUAUUAAGAGAGAUUUAUUGCUGAUUCAAGAAAAAAGAUGUAUAAUAAAUAGGGGUAUAUAUGUAAAGAAAUAAUUAAUGUAGUUGAAAAUAGCAAAGGAAUCUUAUAAAAAGGGACAAAAAAAAAUUCUUAAAAAGGGUCUUAUAAACUCACUCUACUCUACCUGGUAAUUGAAAAUUACUUACCAAAACUCAACUCUACUCUACCUACCAAUACCAUCCAUCUAGUCCAAAUUCACAAUUGGUUAAAUACUUCAUCAUCUUUACCCUGUCUGUGAAACAACUCCAAAGGUUGAACGAACACUCUUCACGGUUCCUCCCUCUUACUUCAAUUCCACCAACAAUUAUCUAAAUUUUUCAUUGCAGAUUAGAAAAUGUCUGUUGCAAGAAGAUUGAUUAAAUGCGUUAUCCUUGAUUUGGAUGGCACGUUGCUCAACACAGAUGGCAUAGUUUGCAACGUUUUAAAGGUUUCGUUGGGAAAGUAUGGGAAAGAAUGGGAUGGAAGAGAAACACUUAAAAUUGUAGGGAAAACACCGUUGGAAGCUGCUUCUGCUGUUGUUGAAGAUUAUGGACUUCCUUGCUCCCCAAUUGAAUUUGUUUCCGAGCUUUCACCGCAAUUCUCCGAUCAGUAAUUACUAUCUCUUAACUCUUAUAUUACUUUCUUAAUCCUUUUUUUAAAUGUUGACUUUCAGUAGAGAUGGAUGGUUGAAACUUGAAACCCUCUGGGUGCAUAGGCUUGUGACUAUGAAGCACAGGCACGUCCAAUAAUAUAAAUAUUUGAGGAAAUAUUAUAAUUCAAUGUAAUCAUAUAUGUCAGUGUUCAACACGCAUCAAGGACUGUAUGUGCUUCAUUGCUUGUGUCAUUCUUGGAGCUUGUUUUGUAAUACUAUGCUGCUAAUAUCUUAGGGGUCUAGGCCUCUAGGGGGAGGUUUACACUAGAUUCACCAUUGCAAGACUUAAAAGAAAAAAUGCGAGGAAUUAUUAUCAUAGUCAUUGAUUAAAAAAACAGAUUUCAAAUAUAAAUAACUUCGUAGUCUGUCAUUGUUUUCGUAGGAUGAUAUUCUGUUACCUUGUUUUUUAAUUUUUGAGUUGGUUAGCUCUUGUGAUCUUAGUUUAAUAGGCUAUUCAUUGGGGCAUUUCAGGGCAGUAUGCACUUUGCAGAAAGGAUUUUUUAUGUUUUAUUUGAAUAGAGGAUACUUCCUUUUUAGACGUAUAACUCUGGGUGAUUGAUGAGUAUUGGGUUUUCUAGACUAAUAUUGUUGUAAACCACAUACUUAACUUUUUAUCCAUUACUCCGAUUGCAAUAAAUUGUUAUUUCUAAACAACAUUGCUGAAUGUUGAGUCAAAGUUCAUAAUAGUUACACAGUUAUACACGAGAAUAUGAUUACAAUCUCAAUCGUUGAUGUUUUUAAGUACUGGCUAUAACUACUCGCUUCUUCAUAUAAAGUGAAUCCCUCAUUUAUAGGAACCAUAUCCAAUCCUCUUUAGCUUUGGAAAUUUAUUAACCAAUAUGUAUUCAACAUCUGGAAAAUUUGUCCCCAAUCAAUUAGUUUAUGGUCCGAUACGAUCUUUGUUCAAUUGGAAACCUUUGUGUAUCAUAUGUUUCAUAUUGGAUAUGCAAGUAAAUUCCUUUGUUUUAUAAAGCUCCUGUAAACACAGUUACUUGGUUGGUUAAUCCAAUUGAACUUGUACUUCAAAGUUAUGAGGGAAUUUUUCUAAGUUUUUGCUUGAUUCUCAUGUUAGGUGGUGCAAUAUUAAAGCACUUCCUGGUGCCAAUCGGUUGAUUAAACAUUUGAAGAGCAAUGGAGUUCCAAUGGCCUUGGCAUCAAAUUCUCCAAGGGAAAGCAUUGAUGCCAAAAUAUCCUUUCAUGAUGGUAUCAAUUUAUUUCAGAAACCUUGCGCUUCUUGGACUCCUUUUGUCAUUGUUUGUGAUAAUGAAAGUAUGAGCUAUUUUCUUAAUUCAUAUUCUUUUCCCAUGCAGGAUGGAAAGAUUCUUUCUCUGUUAUAAUUGGGGGUGAUGAAGUUCGAACAGGGAAACCUUCCCCUGACAUGUGAGAUGCAAAAUACGUUUUGUUUAGCCUUGAUUAUUGAGGGUUACUUGUUUACUAUACAAGUAAGAUAAUUUUCUUCUGAAAAACUGUGAUUUAUGGCAUCAGAUUCUUUGAAGCUGCUAGGAGGUUAAAGAUUGAGCCUUCCAGCUGUCUUGUCAUCGAAGACUCUCUGUGAGUGUCCUUCUAUUCUAACUCUGAUUUAUGUGCCGGCUUCAAGUCUUCUUUGAUGGUUAAACCUUCUGUUGAAAAUUUAAUCCUAUCGUUACACUUCAAAAAGAAAGUUCUUUAAACUUGUUGAAUUUUCCCUUAAUUAUAUUUGUAAUAUGGGAUAGGGUCAAAUGACACUAGAUUAUUAAAGUUAGCUUUUAAGACCAAAUCACGCAUGCUUAUUUGUGCUUAUUCUGGUGGCUUACAGGGUAGCUUAUUUUUGUUGAAUUGGCAUAGGGGUACCAAGAAAGAGAUAGUGAGAGACUCUGAAGGAGAGACAUAGUAGGUCACAUGCUAUUUGAUUAAAUUGGUUAUAGCCUUUAGAUUAAAGAAAAUGGAGGGAUAGAAUUUGGUGUCAGAAAAUUUGAAACCUGAUUUCAAUUGAUCCCACCCUUGUAAUUAUUACAUAGACAUCUUUUCUUUCUUUUGCCUCUUCAUUUAAAAAGAAAAUAUUCUAAAUAUUAUUGGACAACCGUUAAACAUCCCACACCCCCUCCAGUGAUUCUGUCUAGACUUUUUCAGCGAUCCCAUUUAAGUUUUGUAAUUUGAUGUUCAGCUAUGAAAUAAAUCUAAUGGCGGAGGACUAUUGUUAUGUUGAUAGCUUGGGCAGACAGAACUACUCAUUUUUAACUUGUAAGGAUGAUGGCUUGUUUUUGAGGAAGGAAACAUAUUAAAUUACAUCUUUUGUAUUUGAUGAGUGCUCAUUCAGGUGCAGUUUAUGUGUGAUUGAUUAACAGAGAAAGCGGGUGAUUUGGGUGCAUUGAGACUUGUAAUUGAAGUUUGAGAGAAUCCAUAUGAUACUUUUUAAGGAAAAUCUUUCAUAACAUUUAGUGUAUGUGUGCUCAGGUUGAAUGCUCUCUCUGUUAUUAUGAUUUAAACUUCGUUUUGUGACGUCUUCAUGGUUUCCAAUUAAUUUAGGUCUUGUCCUGUUACAACUAUCUGUGAAAGAACUGUACUUCUGUAUCCCAUGAAUCUACCCUUUGAUACUUCGAACAUGGUUUAUGGAAUUUGAUUAAAUUUCUUACUUAAUUUAAAAGAAUUUUUCUAGCAUUCUCAAGUUGUGUAUAUAUCCUUAUAACUUAACAGACAAAAUAGUCUCUGUUCAAUCUGCAUUAUUUUUUUGCUGAAUCCUCCCUUUCUGUUAUGGUCUACACUCAACAGUGAUUUCUAUGUUGAAAAUAUGUUAGACUACCUAUUUGCGACAUAGUUUUUUCUUUCUAAUAAUUAUCUACUUGGCUACUUCAGACCCGGUGUUACUGCAGGUAAGGCUGCUGAGAUGGAAGUGGUUGCUGUACCAUCACUCCCAAAACAGUCUCAUCUCUUUACUGCAGCAGAUGAGGUGAUAAAUUCCCUACUUGAUUUGCAACUUGAAAAGUGGGGUCUACCACCAUUUGCAGAUUGUAAAUCCUGAAUACCUUAAGAUAACAUUUUGUGUUUGUGAAUUUCCUUUAUUGGUAUAUACGGUAUUUAUAUUUGAACUAGUAUUAUAAUUUAUUGCAGGGGUGGAGAGAACUUUGCCUGUAGAUCCUUGGUAUAUUGGUGGUCCUGUCAUCAAGGGAUUUGGUCGAGGCUCGAAAGUUCUCGGGAUUCCUACAGGUUUGUUUUCAGCUUUCAUUUAUUUCUUGUGGUGGUAUGAAGCUGAAACGUAGAGAGAAGCAAAAUAUGGGUAAUUCAUAAUAAUGCCCUGAGGUUAUCCCAAUUCUAUUUAGUGGUUGCUUGUUUUAUAAGCUUGAGAUCCUGAUUUUGGAAUUUUCCCCCAAAUAUAUGAGAAUUAUGCAAUCUUAAACAGUUUUAGGCCUAUUUAUAUACUAAGGUUCGGUGCACUAUUUUUUCAGCUAAUUUGUCAACAAAGGACUAUUCAGAUCUCCUUGCAGAGCAUCCUGCAGGAGUUUAUUUUGGUUGGGCUGGAUUAUCAGGAAGAGGUAUUUUUAAAAUGGUGAUGAGCAUUGGUUGGAAUCCAUAUUUCAACAACAAAGAAAAGACUAUAGUAAGUUGUUUAUUUUAAAUCGCUGGCUAUAACUAUUUUACCUCAGAAUUUUCGUAUAAUCUAUAUUUCUUUUCUCUCUGUAGGAACCAUGGUUGCUUCAUGAAUUCACUGAGGAUUUCUAUGGGGAAGAACUGAAGCUGGUUAUAGUUGGUUACAUACGUCCUGAGGUAUGGCUGCAGCCUACAUUAUUUCUAAAUCAUGGUUGUCAUGUUCUUCAUCUUUUGAGUUUCUCUAAAAUUGGGCACUCUGCAUAGCAGGUCAAUUUUCCAACCCUUGAAAGCUUGAUUGCUAAGAUUCAUGAAGACCGUAGAGUUGCGGAGAGCGCUCUUGAGCUUCCUAUGUAUUCAAGUCAUAAGGAUGAUUCAUAUUUGAGAAGCUCAUAGUACUGAUUUUAUUAGGUUCUUUUAAAGAAACCUCAGCAUUUGUACUAGUGCCAAAAACAGCUUUCUUGUAUUAUACCCUGUGGUUCUUAAUCACCACUCACCAUAACACAAUUUGAUGUGUAACAUGCAUAGAUAGUAAUGAAAAAGGCCAUUAUUUCACUUUUAAUAUUUGACUGCCUGCUGGCAAUUCGGACCCUUUCUAUCAUAAAAUUGCAAUGUUAUGUUAUAGAAUCCAAAUCCUUAAUUAUUCUAUCGAUUUGGUUUUCAUAUUAAACUCUUAUGAUUUUCAUCUGGUUUUAGCAGAAUUUUCUUUCUUUAUUAUGACAUGAAUUUUUUUGACCGAAUAUGACAUGAAAUUAUGUCCCAGUGAGCAUAGCUCAAUUGACAGGGACAUGCAUUGUUAUAUGCAGGGGUUGAGAUUCGAACUCCGGACACCUCACUUAGUCAUAUUGAAAAAGGUGAAUUCUGGCCAUCAGACUACAUGACCAAAUAAUAAUAAUAAUAAUGUUAUUUGCACACCUAAGUUGAUGCCUUUGGCUCAUUUCACACUUAUUAAGAAAAAGUGUAUAAGAGAAAAAGAAUUAUGCUCUUCACUCAGCACAUUUCGCUCGCACCUUGCAGCCAUGCCCAAAAUGCCACCGCGCUAGUUAACUAGCGCAAGUGUAAACUUGUGCGCAAAUUAAGCAGCGUUGCGUAUGUUAAGUGGCGCAAGUGUAAACUAGUGCGAACGUUAAGUGGCGCAAAGUGCCUACUUUUUUUUUAUUCAUUCAAUAUGAUCAUUAAAUACAAAAUUAGAAAAUAAAAUCGAUUUUAUUUAUUCAAUAUUCAUUUAUUCAAUACAUAAGCAUAAACAAAAAAUAAAUGCGAAAAUAAAUACAAAUAAAAAACAAAAGUAAUAAAAAUAACUCUCAUUUUAUUAAUAUGAUUCAAACAUUACAUUAUAUAAUACAUAUAUUUUACCCUCUUCGGUAUAUGCAAAUAACUCUUGGGGAAAAUAAUGAUCCGUCCUGUUUGAAAAAACGACAUCAAGACCCCUUGAGUUAAACUUAAAUUUGGUUCCUUUUAUACCCCCAUAUUGAUUCUUUUUACCCACGGUAAAAAGAUUUUGGGAGUAAAAGGAAACAAACCUAAUUUUAUCUCAAGGGAUGAUGUCUUUUUCUUCAACUUAACGGACCACUAUUUCACCCAAAAGCCACCGGUAUUUACCUAAAGGGUAUAAAGACCCUCGAGACUAUAGAAACAAAGAAGAAGAAGAAGAAGAAGAAGAAGAAGAAGAGAAAGAGUGGGAGAGAGUGGGAGGAGAAAAUGUGAGGAAAAGAGGAAGUAUGUGAGAGUUUUUAUAGGUGGUAUAAGGUAUAUGACACUUAAUGAGGUCCAAAAACAUGUGAAAAACUUAAGUAAAACGUGUAAAAUCCAAUCAAAACCAUUGACUACUGUCCAAGAAACGUUUGUGUUUCAGUUUUUACCACCGACCAACUUGCGCAUAGGCUCAGUGGUGCGCGACUUAAGUCACGCAAAGCUUGUGAGGUGUACAUGUUAAGUCUCGCUGCGUUACUUAACUCACGCAGGGUUAUAUUCGAAAAAAGUGCAGGGCGCAAGCAAAAUGUGCAGGGUGAAGAGCAGAAUUCAGAGAAAAAUGGGUAUGAGUGCUCUUAUCAACUAUUAGUGCAUUCUUCUUUAUCAUAAAUGCAAAGUAGAAUAUAUUGAAUUGAGAGUGGUGAAAGUAAUAUUAAUUAAUGUUAUAGUUGGAAAAAAAGUAAUUAAUAUUGUAUUGAAAAGUGAAAUGAGUCAAUUUUUCUGAGACAAUAUUUUUCUUGCAAAUGACUCAGUUAUUAUGGGACGGAGAGAGAGUACAUCUUAGUCUUUUAUUUCAUGAAAUUAUUAGAAUUGUUUUUAUUAACAAUGUUAAAAUAAAUUAUACUCCACACACACUUCAUUGAUUAAUCCCAUGAGUAAUGGUAUACAUUGUCAAUCUAAAAGAGUUGCAAUCAAUCGUAAUGUACAAAAUGAAUAUAAUUAGCAAUAUGAAUUCAUUAGUAAAUGAUUGAACAUUUUAUUUGCUUUUUGCCUCAUAAAACGAAUAAAUGUACUUGUACAAAACGAAUAAAUGUACUUAUGAUGGUUUAAAAUAUAGCGAAUUUUAUAUUUAAAAUGUCUUCAACUUAUGUUCGACUCAUGUAUAUCUAUUAUAUUUAUAUUAUUUUUUUAUUAUAUUGUUAUCAUAUGUAAGAAAUGUCAAAAAAAAUGUUAAAAUUAUGUUCAAUAAGAACCAAAAGUGAAAUAAUAUAUUUUUUUUAAGAUGAAAACAUUCAUUUUUAUUUGUAAGGAUUAAAAUCAAACGAAAAACUUAUUUAUUUCACACUUUUUAUCAAUUGAAAAAAAAAAAAAAAAAAGUCUUACGAGAUUUAUUUAAAAUGGUCAGAGAAGUCGAGUUUCCAGCUGAGAGAGGAACACUGAGUUUUGGCGCUUACAGUUGAAGUCGAGUUUCCAGCUGCAACAUAGUGGGUUGGAGGAGGAGGAAUAACAAUGGGAGAAGAAGCAGAAGAGGUAAUUGAACUCCAACCCGACGCAUCUAUCCCCAACGAAAUCGAAGAGUAUUCCUGGCCCGUCCUUCGUUUCGAUGUCUCUCCUCAUAGAACCUACCAUUUCCAUCAACAGUUCACUUCUCCCACUAACCCUAACAAUUUUCUCAAAGCUGUUAAAUGGUCACCGGAUGGCUCUUCUUUCCUCACCUCUUCCGACGACAACACUCUCCGCCUCUUCACUCUGUAUGUAUACUUUCUCUUUACAACCUUCUUCACCGUCUGUUUUUUAAUUUUAACUAUUCCAUGCACCAUUCAAUUAAUUCACUUCGCUUCACGAUUUUCAGACCGGGCGCUGAUAGUGACAUUCCUCUUGAUACUUCCGACUACCAAGGCAAGCUCACUCGCCACAAAUAAGACACCGUUUCAAUAAGCAUUUUAAUUAAGUGCUUAUAGCAUAAAUGCUUAUCAUGUAUGUCAUAAGUGCUUAUGUAUAUAAGCUAUUUCUGUAACAGAAAUCAAAUAAUGCAACUGUUUUCAUAUAAGCUAUAAGCUAUUUUCAAAAGCUAUCUUAGAGAGCUUAUGGAAAUAAGCUGACAAUAGCUUAUUGACUUUUCAUAAACUUUAUUCAUACAUUCUUCAAGUAAUUGCGCUAGCUUGCAUUAUUGCGUUGGCUUGCUGUGAAUAGGGUACUGUUUGAAAAACAUCUUAAGUGCUUAUGACUUAAAUGUUUAUCUUAUAAGUCAUAAGUGCUUAUUAUAAGCUAUUUCUAUAACAAAAGAUAAAUUAAAGUCAAUCCGUUUCUGUUGGAUUAAUUAUUUAAUUAAUCAAUUAUGGUUUGACAAUAAUCAAUUAUUAUAAGUUAAUUUCAUAAUAUAAAUUAUGGUCUUUUGUGUUAAACACUAAUUAGAUGAUGAAUAUGUGUGAUUGGGCUAUUCUUUCUAAAUGGACCGUGAUGGGUUGGACCAUUUAGCUAAGCCCAAUGAGAGGUCUCUGCCCUCAGCCGUUUAGCUAUUUAAACGUCAUCCCAUCAUACGAUUAAUUAUUCUGAACACUACUCUGAAAACCUAACGCUAAACGGAAUGAAGGUAGUUAUUCCUCUCAUAACUUGAUGGCGAUCCUUCAUGAACCUAAACAUACAAGGUACACAAUUUCUUCUCUCUUUGUUGUUGAUAAUAUGUUAUAACUUGUAUCUAGUAAUCCAUGGCUAAACUCUAAAACUUUUAUCAGUUUCCAUAUAAUUUAUGAGUUGUUUUCAUAAGCGGUGUUCAACUAUUUAUGCAUAAGCUGUUUCCAUAAGCUCUUCUAAUGAGUAUCAUGAGUGUUUAUGUCAGUAGAUAAGCUCAAAUUAGAAAAUCCAUACAGGCCCUAAGUCUUUACAUUCGAGUGAUUGCAUUUGCUUGCAUUAUCAGUUCCUAUUUUUAUUAUCGUUGUCGUUAAUUGGCUGCAGAUUCUUAUGCUGCAAGUUUAGUCAUGAGUGAAGGAGAGUCUAUACAUGAUUUCUGUUGGUAUCCUUACAUGUCUGCCUCAGGUCUUUCUUUUAUCCCAUAAUAGUAUUUGUAUCAUUUUCUUUGUUGGAUGGAGGAGAGAGGCUUAUUGUAUUGUAUUCUUUGAUGAAUGUUUCAGAUCCGGUGACCAAUGUUUUUGCGACUACUACUCGUGACCAUCCCAUACAUCUAUGGGAUGCUACAUCAGGCCAGGUAUUUCUUUAUUAUGCCUUUCCGGUUAUGUGCUUAAAUUAUUUGACGUAUAGAUAACUGGAAAUUCCAAAUAAUCAAUAUCAGUAUUGCCUGGAAAUAUUUUAAAAAGCGUUAAAAGUCUGAAAUUCAAUAUUUUCUAUACCAAAACUGAAAGUAUGAGAGCAUUUUGAGGUGUUAGAUUUAUAUAUGGUGGCAGUUUCAUCACAGGUUGAUCAGGGAUAUAGUUUCUCUCCUUAAAGUGUUUGUUCUUUUAUGGUUGAGUACUGAUGUUAUUAUUAGCAGCUUUGUAGUCACAUUGUGGUUUCCGUAUUGAUAGUGUUUUCUGACCUUUGAAUUACGAUGAAACUUGCAGUUACGCUGCACAUAUCGGGCAUAUGAUGCUAUGGAUGAAAUUACUGCUGCUUUUUCUGUUGCUUUUAAUCCUUCUGGAACAAAGUAAGCAACUUGUUUCUUUUCACGGACCAGAAGUUGGCAUAUUCUAUAUACAUAUUACAUAGUGCAGUAUUUCUUUGAUAACAUUUACUUCAUGCUCACAAAUCCCAAGUGUUUCCUCCUUCAAGCAUUCAUAAAAUUUCUUUUGAACACCUAAAUAGUUGAAUAUACGCUAAAAUAUGGUUUUGGUCCCCGCAAAUAUGUCUCGUUUUGGUUUUAGUCCCUGUAAUUUUGUUUUUGUUUUUGGUCCCUGCAAAUAUGCCUCGUUUUGGUUUUGGUCCCUGGCCCCACUUUUGUGAUGAUUUGCACACGUGGCAUAUGAUGACUGAACCCAUUUAUUAGAAAAAUAGUCCCUGCAAAAUCUCUAUUUUCAAAAACAAGAUAUUUUGCAGGGACCAAAAUGAUAGGAUAUUUAGAAUAAUGAGUACUAAUGUGGUGACUCCCCUAGUUCUAGAAGGUAGUAUGACUCAUCUUAAUCUAGAAAGGAUCUUUUAGGCAUAUUCUAUUAGUUAGUUACUAAGCAAUGCUAUUGCGUAGCCGUUGUAGUUAGCUUACUAUGUGUAUGCACAAGUCUAUAUAAACAUUGUAUGCCUUAUUAUGAGGGAAAUGAAAAAUAUAAUGAAUUUCUUUUCUUUUAUCUCUAGUUUUCUCUUUUAAUUUUUGGAGUGUGAUCCCUACUCGAAUUGGGUCGUAUCAUUUGGUGCUUUCAUUUUGUUCUCAUUCCCGCUAAUUGAAAUUGAUAAUGGAGUUUUCUAUUUUUGAUGGAGAAGAUGACGCAUAUUGGUGGAUUCUCUGUACUGAAAAAUACUUCAGGGCAAGAGGAACAUCGGAUGCGACGAAGAUGAUAGUGGCUGCAUUAGCUAUGCGUGGUGGUGCUCUCAGAUGGUGGUUGUGGUGGUCUCGCCGUCAUCCGCAGUCAAAUUGGGACACCUUUACCACUGAUCUCUUAUGGCGCUUUAAGCCUGAAUGGCGGCAUCUCUUGCCUGUGUUAGAUGAAGAAACGGAGGAAGCAUGUGAAUCCUCAAAGUUGGAGGUGAAGCAGCCUUCCCGAGUUUCCGAUUGUGUUGUUGAUCUCGUACUAGACAUACCAGGUGAACACAAUCAAGAUCUUCCACCAUGCUCAAAGCUUGUUGAGAAGCCCUCCAUCACUCACGAUUAUGUUGAUUCCAUAGCUUUCAUUACGGGUGAACAGGAUCUGGAUUCCCCACUAAAAUCGGAAGUUCAGGUUGUUCAACUGGAAAUUGCAGAUUCCAUUGAUGGCGUACAACAGAGGAGCGUCAUCGUCAUGACGGGAGACAAGAAAUUUAGCAAUCCUGCUCUCGGUCCACAAUCUCCAAAACCGCUAGACACUGCCUUGGCUCCACCGUUGCCGCCGCCGAAACCGCCGGAUGGAAGUGUUGCUGCAGGUAUCGAUCCAUUAUAUGCUCCUGUUACUUUACACAAAUACUCACCACCCAUGAAAUUGUCAUCAGGUACCGCAGAAAACUUAACAAACCUGAUCUCCAUUGUUGACCUUCAACCACCGCACCCCACUAAAAUCAUAGGUUCUGUAUCAAUCACAACUUCAGGGGUCGUGUCUUAUCCCAAGGACACCGGUUUUGACGAUGAUACGGAUAUCUCAAUUCUGGGGAAAAUCCACCACCCUGCAGCUCUUGCAAAAUGUACAAACCUAUCUGAUUUCCAUCUUACCUCUGAAGCAACUAACACCCACCUCGUAGGUGGCUUCGCCGUUCCCCCACCGCCUCCACCAAAGCCGCCAGAUAAUGACCCAUCUAAGAGUAACCCUGUGCUGUUAUUGGCAGAGUCAACAAAAUCCAGCAUUGUUAUGUUUGCAUCAAUCACUGACACUGAACCAUAUGACCCAGGUCCAUCGAAACAUCCAUUCCCAGCCACUGUAGUCACUUUUAUCAGUACGACGAACUUGUUUGAUAAAUUUCCCAAGAGGGACUGUGCUUUUCAUUUUUGUUCCAGAGAAGUUAUUACUAUCACCGUCGCGAGGAACAUGUUCGAUAAACUGCCCACGAGGGAUCAUGCUUUUCCCAGAGAGGUUAUUACUACAAAUGAUAGUUUGCAACAUAUUAACCAUGCUCUUGCAAAAGUUCACUUCUUAAAUGCAACUAUCACCACACUGUUUGGGAUAAAAAAACUUCUAGAGGCACUUAUCAUUAUGUUUAAGUUGGGUGAAGCUAGUGCAGUGUAUAAACUUUCUCAGACAGGUUUGAUCACAAUUACUGAUUAUAUUAAUGUCAUUGUUCUGCUGAUUGUUUGUUCAACAUAUGUGUCGCACCAUAAAGCUAUUGAACUACCAUCACAACUAUGCCAUGAUCAGCCUGACAUGUUAAGGGCCACUAUUGCAAUGAUAUCUUCAUGUAUCUCUUCAAUUGCUAUUCUAAUGUGUAGUAAUGAUAAGGCAAACCAAUUAUUUUUGGAAAAUUCUAGCGUGGAAGGUAGACUCCUUUCUCUACUUGGCUAUGUAUUUAAAGAAGCUUCUUUUGUUGCCAUGAUUACACAUAGGUUCUCAACAUUUGUAAAUGUCCUUAUGCAUGCUGAUGGGUUCUUUGGAAUUUGUGGGUCUGUUCCCUUGUAUUGGGAUGAUGUUUUGCAUGAUUUGAACCUCCUUUUGAUUUAUGCUAUACAUUGUCGGAGCGAAUUUUGUUACCCAAGGUUAUUUGAUUCAACAAAAGGGACAGGGGAGGUUGUUGAUUGGGGCAUAAACAUAUUUUGCUUAAUGGUUGCAGCUCCAUUUUGUUCCUUACUAUCCUUACAUAAUCCGCAUCACAUUGAUGAUAUUUUCUCUUACAAGACAACUUCAAAUUCCAAGCAACAUUUAUCUAACAAGGUAGAGUUUGAUUCAGUUGUUGCAGUCAUGGAGGUGAUGCUUUAUAAGGGAAAAUUCCUUAAUAUUUUGAUAUCUCACCCUCAUGCCUCUAGUAGUUCAUAUUUAAACCUGAACGAGAUUCCCAACAAAUCACUACGGAUUCAAGAUGGUCUAUAUACAUGUGCAUAUUUUGUUGGCUUACUUCUACAAUGGCUGGAUAAAUUUAAACUAUUAAACUCACUAUGUGGCACUGUUUUUGAGGUCAAUCAAGGAGAGGUGACAACAUUUCAUUCUUAUGCAAUAAAAACUCUUGCUACUUUUCUUCAUAUAGUCACUAAUGUUGCAAUCAGAAGUGGAAUUUCUAAAUUUUGUGUUGGUCCAUCAGCUCUCAGUGAGUUAACAUACAAUGUAGUUGGCAUUAGGUUGAAUUUUGCUAAUGGUUAUGAUAUAGCAUUGCAUGGAAUUGCUUCACUUUUUAAAACUCAUCAUGGUUUUAUCAAGCAUUGUGGCUUAAUUGGUGGUGUGUCAAGUAUGUUGCUAGUUGCCAAUAUAGGCCUUUGUGGUUAUGUUCAAGAGGUUUUGGUUAGAUUAAAUUCAACACUUGAUAUGUUGCUUCAAUCAGAUGUUGUCAAGUAUGAGUUUUUUGGGCUGAUGUGUGACCUUGAAGGAAUGGAAAUAGUCUACAGCCAAGAGGUCGAUUGCUCCUUGCACUUCACUUUUGAACAAUGGGAUCCUGAUGGCCAUUUGGAUUUGAAGUUCAAACAGUGGGAUCCAGGGAAGUUUAGCGUAGAAGCAGGAUUCUACAACCUUGAGGACAAGGUUGAUCUUGAAGGGGUCGGUAAUGAUAGGAUAUUUAGAAUAAUGAGUACUAAUGUGGUGACUCCCCUAGUUCUAGAAGGUAGUAUGACUCAUCUUAAUCUAGAAAGGAUCUUUUAGGCAUAUUCUAUUAGUUAGUUACUAAGCAAUGCUAUUGCGUAGCCGUUGUAGUUAGCUUACUAUGUGUAUGCACAAGUCUAUAUAAACAUUGUAUGCCUUAUUAUGAGGGAAAUGAAAAAUAUAAUGAAUUUCUUUUCUUUUAUCUCUAGUUUUCUCUUUUAAUUUUUGGAGUGUGAUCCCUACUCGAAUUGGGUCGUAUCACAAAAACAAUAAUUUUUUUUUACAGGGACUAAAACCAAAAUGAGGCAUAUUUGCAGGGACCAAAACCGUAUUUUAGCCUUGAAUAUACUAUCAUCCCUUGUGCUGUUGUGUUCAAACUGCUAAUGACAAGUAAAUAGACAUUUCUUUGGUUAGCUGACAUUGUUAAGGUUUUGGAAGAUAUGUCAAAGGACAACCUUGAGAUUCCUGUUGUGAUUGUCCGAGUUGAUAUCUGAUUCUUGUUUUUCAUAAUGUGGUAUUAUUUUUGGUUUACUUUGAUUGUAUUGAUGAUUGUAUCAACUUAAAUUGCGCAAGUCGCUAACAGUUGAUGAAGAACCUUAAGAUCUUGCAUUUUCUUGCAGGAUAUUUGCCGGAUACAACAAAUGUAUUAGGAUGUUUGAUUUACAUCGCCCUGGUAGAGAUUUUAAAUUGCAUUCAACAGUAAAAGAUAAAAAAGAAGGCCAAACAGGUAGUUUUCUGAUAGGUCUACUAAAUUGUUAUUAUAAUGGCUGUAAAAAAAUGGCAGAAAAUUCUGUAACACAAACAGACUCAAAUAAUUCAGUCUAUAUUAAUGCAGGUAUUAUAUCUGCAUUGGCUUUUUCUCCAUCUCAUACUGGGAUGCUAGCUUUGGGUUCUUAUAGCCAAACUACUGCUAUUUAUACGGAAGAUAACAUGGAGCUUUUGUAUGUUUUGCAUGGUCAAGAAGGCGGAGUUACACAUGUAAGUCUGGUUACUUGUAAUUUGUACAAGAUUGAUUCUCAUUAUAAAACCUAGCACAGACUAAAAUUUUCCCUUCUUCAGGUCCAGUUUUCCAGAGAUGGUAAUUAUUUAUAUACCGGAGGUCGGAAGGUAAAACUUUCACAUUUCCUUUUCUUGAUCUCGAAUACAGACAGCUCUAUACAUCACACUCUUAUUAUUGUUUACUUCAAGUUCAACCAUAAUAUUAAUAUCGUUGAUGCCCCCCUUCUUUUUUUCAUGGUUGUCUUUUAACAGAGUUUUGCAUCAUAUAUGAUUUUAAACAAUCUCUAACAUUCAAAUUUCUUAUAGGACCCUUAUAUACUGUGCUGGGAUGUGCGCAAAGCUGUUGAUUGUGUCUACAAGUACCAUUCUCUCGCCUCAUUUGACUCUGGUUUUUUGUCUGAAUUUUUUAUGUCAAUCUAAGGAAAGUAUGAAGUCUUCUUUAAUGUACAAAACUGACUCAAAAUUAUAUUUCAAGAUAAAGACAAAAGUACGACCUACUCUACAGUAAUGCCCUGAAAAUAAAGGAUUGGAUUCCCUUACGGUAGCCACUACUUAGUAGAGUAUAUGGAUGUAAAGCUAAAUUCCCAUAUUAAUUACUGACUGCUGAUGUGCGUGUCAAAGUCAUUCUAAAGACCCAUGUUUUUGCAUGUUUAAGUUGAUGUUUGCUAUGAUAUGGUUUUGUACAAUAAUUCUAUUGUUAUGAAACCUUACUGGCUCCAACUAUGUUAAUUCACUUGAGUUAUAUAUUUCUGCAAGGUAUAUACUCUUUAUUCCAUAAGUUAGCUGAGAUGAUUGCAUGUGUGCGUUGUUAUUAGGUUGUACAGAUCUGCGGAAAACACCAAUCAGCGGAUACUGUUUGAUAUUGACCCUUCUGGGCAGCAUCUUGGUACAGGCGGCCAGGUAUCUCUUUCCUUAAUUUUUAUUGUCUAGCAAUGCCAAUGAUGCUCAAUCAAUAUUCAUUUUAUGUUUCUAAACCGCUGUGUUUGCAAUUUUGGUUUCAGGAUGGUUCAGUGCAUAUAUACGAUCUUCAAACUGGGCAGUGGGUGUCAAGUUUCGAGGCUGCACAAGGUACUGAAGUUCUGCACUCUUUGCAAUGCCUGUGGUUAUAUUUCAUCUCAAUCUUGGCUUUAAUAUGAAAUAUUUUGAAUGUCACCCUUAUCUGAUCUAUAUUAGUUUCUUAAAGUAUUCUGUUUCAUUUAGAACAUCUCCAAUAUAUUUAUUCUGUGUAUAUUUCCUUCAUAAUUUUUACUCCAUUUUCCAUUCUUCCACUACUGCUCAAGUCAAACUAUCUAAAUUUUGACAGUGCUGCACUCAUAUCUGUAAAUCCAUCUCAAUUGCCUAUCCAUUGGGUUUCUUUCAACUUAGCUUGUUCCACCAUUUUGAUAAUCUCCUCAGUUUGACAGUCUUCAGUAUGCCUCUACUCUAGUUCACAUUCCGAAUUCCGAUUUUCUUCCUUAAUAUGCUUGUGUUACAAGCCUCAUGUUUUGACAUUGUAGUGAUACAUGCAUCAAACAGUGGCCAACCUUAUGGCAGUAAAAUGAAUUUUCUGUUAAAUGAGAUGGUCACGGACACGGUACUUUACCUGCACGAUCUGAUGUUCCGUGCUUAGCCCAUUUAUGCUAAUUCUAUGGACCGUUUCCUGUUAAUUGCGGAUGUGCAUCCUACAUUCUUUUUCCUCUUCCUCUUCCUCUAUAUUUUAAGAUCAUCUGCUAAAUGUAAGUCCCACCUAAUGUAAAGAGGCAAGAUUUUGGCACGGUUAUCUAUAUUUACCAUGUACUCUUUUACAUAUUGGACAGACAUUGACAGAGGGAAGUGUGAGACCUUUUUCUCAUGAAGUUUCUCUCGUAUUGAAACUAAUUUUUCCCAUAUGCUAUAAUGAGUUAUCGACUGUAGAUUUUGUGUACAUAUUUUCCAAUUUCGUAAAUAUAAUUGGCUUUCUUUUGUUCUGUUUGUUGUGCAGAUACGGUUAACAGCUUCUCUUUCCAUCCAUUUCUGCCCCAUGCUGUGUCAUCCUCAGGCCAUCGUAGAUUUGUAAUACCAGAUGAGAACGAUGAAGAUUUGUGUUUGAGUGGUAUAUUUGAUCUUGAAGCAUAUAUAUUUCUUUUUUGGGGGGUUUUCUGCAGUUUUAGUGUUUAUGUUCAACAUUAGCAUGAUAUCACCCUUGUUUAACAGCCGUAGCCUAAUUUCUUAUUAUCUUUAAACAACAUGUAGAUUUCAGGAAGUUCUGAAAAGCAUUAUAUAUUCUGUGGUAUUUGUGGGACAUGUUUACUGGAAUUUAUUGAUAAAAUUGGUUGUUUGAUGUAGGUCGUGAAAAUUGUGUCUCAGUUUGGAGUUUCUGUUAUGAUUCAAAGAUGGAGGACUUCAAGGGCGAUGACAGUUUCAAUAAUCAGUCUGGAAGUGGAUCCUUUGACUAAAAUUCCGGCAAAACAAUGAUUUUUAAAUGUUGGCAAUGAUCAAAACGGGUCAUUUCCUAAUUGUUCAUUAUUUGACAAUUAGCUGAUCUAAAUUUUGAAUAUAUAAUUUAUACUUGUAAAUUGCCAACUUCGUAGAGAGAGGACUGUGAAGUUCAGCUUGUCAUUUUGUUGGGUGAUAUUUGCCGCUGCUCUUUAUUCAGAAGCCUAAGUUUCAAGGAUUUGGAUUGCAUGCAAUCAACAUUAUGUGCAUUCAUGUAGUCAGUUGGUGGUUGUUGGAUCAAGAUUUACAUGCCUAAGUUUCAAGGAUUUGGAUUGCAUGCAAUCAACAUUCAUGUAGUCAGUUGGCGGUUGUUGAUCAAGAUCAGAAAACAUUCUAAUUUUGAUUUUUUUAAUAUGAAAUACCAAGCUUAAACUUGUAUAGUCCGAUUUUGAUCAAACAGCCAUAUGACAUGAUUGUAUAAAUGAUCCAAAUCUAAGUUUUGAUCCUCACUUGAGGAGCAAAAUUCUCUAUAUUAUUAAUACAGCAAAGACCACUGAUGGACAUAGCUAUAGGGAAAAACAUGGCAGCGAAUUUGAAACUUUAUCCUGAGAAAGUUUUUGACAUACAGUUUGAUCAAUUAUUCCCUUAUCGCCAAAUGAGUUUUUGGACCAUGAGGUUGCCGGUGAUAAAGGUUUAUUUUUCGAUUAUUUUGUUAAAUCAAUAAGGAUCAAGUGUUAAAUGCAUAAAGAAAAGAAGAAUCCAAGUGCUGUGUGUUUUGGUUUUGGUUUUUUAGGUGUUGGCUUGCUGUGUGUUUUUUCAGUAGCUUUCCAGUAAAGGUUUUUUUGCUUUUAGGUGGUUUGUGUUUUGACUCCCACGCAUGUGUGGUGGGUUUUACACUUUUCCAUCCUCUCUUUGUAGCUCUUGCAGCCUUUAGCACUUCUUGUGCAAGGUCUCUUAAUGAAAUUAUGCUGUUUCAAACCAUAAAAAUAAUGACGUCGAUUGUCAUCAAUUUAAAUGGUUACAAUGGUCGUGAAUCCAUCUGAUAACAAAAGACACUUCUCCACCUUAGCAAUUGGGGAAUGAUUAUUUGUUCAUAAAUGAAUAUGUUAGUGCCUUUAGAUUGUGAACAAUUUUCUUCUUACAACAAAGGGGUACUUUCUCAAGUCUCAGAUAUAUGAAGAUUUUUUUUUUUUUUUUUAAGAGAAAUGAUAUUUGUUCAACUAUUUUAUGAUAAUUUUUUGAUAACUUUCCUCCUACAUACUUAUAUUAUAUUAUUAUUCUCUCUUUUCUUUUUUCUUUCUCUCUAUUGUUUUUGACCAAUAAAAAGAGAGAGAAGCGAUAGAAAGAGAGAGAAACGAAGUUGUUUCAAAUGGUUUUUCAAAUAACACUACUCAAAGCUUUGAUGAUCGAAAAUAAAAGUACUUUUUAAUUUUUACUUUAUUUUAUGAUAUCAUUUCAAAAAAAAAAUUGGUGUAAAACAUGUGUCCUUUGCACGCGAAACUGUGAAAACUAAUCUCUAAGACUGGAUUUGAAUCAAAAACAUUAAUUAAGGUAGAAGAGACUCGUUUUAUCUUUUAGGUAUCAUUUCAAAAAUAUUCUUCAACAAAUAUUAGAAUUUAAAAAAGUUAUAUCAUAUUAGUUUUUUUUUUUUUAGGGAAGCAAAUCUUUCUUAUUAACGGGUGUCAGUCAACUAUUAAUGUUUAUCGUAGAUAUUAACCUUUAAAAGAUAUAAUUAUGCACUCACACUUUACAAGUUUUUUUUGUCAUAUUUUAUAUUACUAAUAAUUAUCGAUCUUUUGUUAUAUUUUAUAUGAGAAGUCCUCGUGAACUUAGCUCAGUUGGUAUGAACAAUGCAUAAAAUACAUAAAGUCCAGAUUCAAAUCCCACCCACCAUAAAAAAAAAAUUCUAUAUGAGAAAUGCUGAUCUUAUUGGUGAAGCUCAAAUGUAAACACCGUCUUAUACUUUCUUUAAUAUUUCCUGUUACACACGUUAAGCGUCUAUCCAACACGUCAACCGAGUUUUCUAUUCGCGUUAAGUAACUAUCCUCCCUCCACCAAAUGAAACCUAUAUAUACACAUUUUUCCUUCUUUACUUUACAGUUUACAAUCACAUAACUUCCAAUUUCAUCAUAUAUACUCUUUGAUCGUUCACCUCUUCGAUAAUAGUAACUUCAUCAUCAGUUCAAUAUCAUGAGUCAAUUAAACAACAAUCAGCAAAAAGCCCCAUCAGUAUCAUAUCCACCACCUGGUGAGGCCUAUUCUACACCUCAAUAUGUAACUGCCCCACCACCUAUGGGUUAUCCUUCCAAGGAUGGCUCUGCAGGGUACCCCCAACAAAGGAUUCCAGACCAAACCACUAGCAGGGGUGAUGGUUUCUGGAAAGGAUGUUGUGCUGCUCUAUGUUGCUGUUGUGCCCUUGAUAUCUGCUUUUAAGUUCUGAUUGAGGUGUUAUAGCAUAGAUUGUGAUUAUUGUCAUCACAAUUUUUUAACUCUGUUGUUUUCUUUUGUAUUCUUUGUAGUUGUAGAAGAAUAAGGAUAUUUAUCUUUUUGGACAUUUUGUAUUCAUUUAUUCAUUUGGUAGAAGUUAUUUCUUUCUUUGUAUCUACAAAAUACUUAAACACUCAAGACAGUGAGAGCUCCAAAAGUUUAAAGGUUUUUUCAUAGAAUGUAUUGUGUACAUUUUCAUAGUAGAGAGACUCCUUAUAUAUGUAGUUGGUAUUGCCACCUGGAUAUAAGAUAUCAAGUCUAUACAUAAUAAUAUAAUGGAUAAAUUAUUUUGUAUGUAGCUUGAUGACCACAUCUCACACGUCAAGAAUAUGAGUUAUCAAGUUUAUACAUAUACAUAAAUAUUAUGAGUAAAAUUUAUACUAGAGUCACACACCAUAAGAAUGGUACAUAACAUGUUCUAAAGAUAUUAUAAGUUAUUCUUGUAAUGAAAAUGUUGUACUUAAACCUUAAACCACUAUGAUUAAUAAACGUGGGCUCACAUGUUUUAUGGUCAUUUAAAUGUUGUCUGUAACAUGGUAACUAUAACGUUAGUUAAUAGAUACUUGAUAAAUCAUGUUGAAAUAUUGACCUAAAAGUAAUUUGCUCCUUCUCCAUAACAGGAGAAAUAUCAUUUAAGCUUCUUGAUAUAUUUUGGAUUCAAAUAAAAGCAAAUAUAUGAGUUUGAAAUUGUUUCAGAAAAAUCUAUUAAAUAAAAUCAAAUAAAUGGUUUUGAAGUUGUUUCAAGAUAUAUAUUUUAUUUAAAAAAAU